rnacentral:lncRNA from 1 species
CGUAAUCGGAAAUGAAGGUGUGAGAUAUUGGGCUGCCGACGGGCGUAGCUUAUUUCAAAAUUGUAAGAACUAGAGCUUCCAAAUGAUCCUUUUCUUUCCGUCAAAAGGUGCAGGAGUGGACGCCACCAGAACGGAAAGGCUAAGAAAGGUGCAGGGGCGCGGCGACCAAGAAGCAUUUAGAGGUGGAGCUUUAACUUUGAAGUUUGAAGUGGGUGGUAAAUUUUGAAAUGGUGGGACCAACGAAUAUUAUAGAGGAAGCUACGCGGAAGCAACCGAGUUUCUCUUUAUGUGCAAGUUGUCAUAUGAUGAUUGAGGAUAAGCCAAUUUCGGUCCUGAGAUAGAAGUGAGAAACAGUUUAACUCACUGAAUUCCUCACUUCCUUGGGGGCACUGGGCAGGAAAAACCCUAUUCUCCUGGCAGUAUGCUUUAGAAUCUGAGGCUUUCAUAUUGGGUAUUCAUAUUUUGGUGGGGGAGGCGGUGGACUUGGUGGAAGAUGGCAGUGUUAUUGGCUAUGGUGGUUGAUGCUCUGGGUCUGUGUGUGACCACACUUUGGGAUCUGCAGGAGCGGAGGUUCUCUACCAUUUUUGAGACUGUGAGUGCUGCAGCAAGGUCAGUUACCAUGGCACUUGUGUUUUGUUUCUUGUCCGUACAUAGACACCGUAUCGGAGACUUUGGUGUGGCCUUCCUUUGAUUUUCAAUCUUAUUGCUUCUCUUCUUAUAAGCUCGAUUGUCAAGUUAUUUGGCAAUCUUUAGCCAGAUUUAGCAUUUGGCGUUGAUGAAGAGUGCCUUCAUUUGAUUACUGUUCAUUGUGCCUUAGCUGAACAGAUCUGGAUAUUGUAUCUGAUAUUAUUACUCACAGCGGUUGAAUUCAGAUGUCUUGUGGUGUGGCUACUUUCAUCCAGUUUUAGAAGGAAAUGUAUUACGGCCUUCAACAGUGUAGCUCUUUUCCAUUGACCUCAGUAAGAGGUGAAGUCUAAGCCCCAGAAAUAUCUGAAAACUGGAACCUGAUUUUACCACUGAAAGGCUUUUUGUUAUUAUACCCUAAUGAAUCUGAUAUUUGAGCAAAAUUUUAAGAGGAUAAACUGGUGGUAUUUGACAGGGUCUCAUGUCGAGGAUCCCUAGAUUCCUUGUCUGUCACAAAAUAGCCUCUUUACAUGAUGUUCUUUCGGUUUAGUCUUGGUUUCUUUUUAUUUCCUUGAAAAACGGAGAUCUGACCUCCAUAUUCUUGCUGGCAACUGCUCAUCCUCAUUCUUACAAUUGACCGGCCCCAUCUCUUAUGGACUCUCGUCAUGUGACUUUUACCUAUUAGACAAACAAGUGAGCCUACAUACAGCGACAUAUCAUCUUGAAGCAAAUGAAAAAAUACAGCAACAGCUUAUAACUAUUUUAAGCUUAAAUGUCAGUCUCCACUCAAUUUAACUUUUCGGAUAAUGUGUUUUUGAAGAAUGGCUUUAUGUGAAGUCCUGGAGAUGUUGGAAGCAUCUUCAACCAUUCUCAGUUCUGAAUGUAUAAGAUGCACCAGGCAAAUAAGUUAAAGUUGCCUGACCACGUUAGUGCAGACAAAUCAUAUCAUGGCAGUUCAAAAUCGUAAAAUAGGCUCACUUGCCUCUCUACAAGUGCAAGAGUUGUGUGUUUAAGCAUUCUACAUAAAUUUGAGAAAUCUUAUUACACGACCAAAAACUUAUUACUAAAAUCAAAUCAUAAACCAAUAGUUUAUUGCUAAAAUUCAAAUCAUACACAUUUGUUAUCCCUGAACUCCCCUAUUUUUAUGUGGACCAACUAAUGAAAGCCAUAGUACAUGAGACAACAUUCAAAACAUCUAACAAUGAACAGUGACAUUAAAUGCUGAAGCAUUGACAUUAAUUUCAACUCCAAAGCCAGGAAACGAGUCCUUAAUGGAGUAAAUUUCCAUUCUUGCAACAUAUCAUUUGACAGGUCAGAAGAAGCUUUGACAGCUAGGAAUCCUGGAAUUUCUCCACAAAUUAAGCCUUCAAGUAACCUUUCUCUUCCAAGUAAGAUAUUACUGUUUUAGCCAUAUCACUAGGGGAAGCAUAGUCUCCUCCAGUCUGUUGCAAUACUACCUACAAAAUAAAAUCUGUUUUUACAUUCUUUUUUAUUAAAAUGAAUAUCAAGGAAUAAAAAAUUUUCAUGAGCUACAAAAUACAACCAUCAAUUAUGAAAUAUAUCUCUACAUUAAAACUUGGUAUCCUCAAUCUAAUAGGGGUUUCAAAUUUAUUUGACUAAAGGAAUAAAAGAUUGUCGUUGGAAACCAGAAAAGCCCCAUUCUACACAAUUUCAUAUUAAUUAUUAGCAAAUUUUUUACCAGGGAAAUUCCUAUUUCUUUCACCACAUGACCAACCAUCUAGUCAGAAUAUUGCCACUGACUUAGGCCUUUCCUAAACUCACAUGCGGCAUUUAGACACCUCAAGCCACUUGAUGUUGCUAAAUCAGUCUUUCCUUCAUCUUAGCUAGUUAUGUUAAGCAACACUACUCGACUUGGUAGAUAGGAUGCACAAUGAAGCUACAAAGCUAUAUAUAAGAGUUAUUUGAAACUCUCUGCAAUGCCUCACACACUUCCCUUGUCUUCCAUCCUUGUGUAGAGAUGUGUAGACAUCUCCAAACUUCUCCAAAAUGUUCCAUACUCCUCCACUAGUUAUGUACAAGUGUGGAUUACUCUAUAAGGCUCCAAAAGCUUCCUACUUUCAUAUAUAAACUCAAUGGAUGAUCAUUUAAGCAAAUUGUGACAAUAUGCUUAAAAUUUCUUUUAAACCAGAGUCUUCUAACUUGUUCAUGUUAUUAAAAGCAUAACUAGAUAUCUUUUAGUGCAUGUUCAUGAUUUUGUAAGUUCAAGAAUGUUAAGCAUAUCUAGAUUUUCUCUAAGGAUAUAAAAGAAAUACCUCACAAUUCAAUGGUGGCUCAUAUGGAUCAUCAAUCCCUGUAAAACCUGAAAAAAUCCAAAGUAAACAAGCAUUUAACCCAUCUAUUCUUUACUGUGACAACUACCCAAGUGGAGGUGGAUACAAGCAGUAGCAACAUGAUAAAUCCAUCCACUAUUGAAAUAUAAGCAUUAUUACAAACAAGGCCAAUCAAUGAGAAAGCAGGCUUUAAUAUUAGCAAAAAGGAAAAAUAAAAAAAGUAAAGAAAAUGAUAAGUUCAUUUUUUUUUUUUCAUGGAACCAACUUUAGGUAUUUGGUAGCCUUGCAAUUUGACCCUAAGUAAUUAUUCAGGAGUGCAAGCAAGACAUAUAAUUUUAUGAACCACGGUACUCUUAGUGUGAUAAACCUUUUUCAAUUUGCAGUUAAAGCCAAGACAUAUGAUGACAAUCACGUUAAAGCCAAGCAUAUAAAAAGAACAAGGCUGUCCCCGGAAUUUCCAAAUGGUAGACCCUUAACUUAUGUUAUAUAUCAUCAACAUGAGAUCCUAGGAAACUGAAGAUUACAGACCAAAAUAUCCAAUAAAACAGGAAAGAAAAGCAAUGAUUAUUCAGAAUCCCAAUUUUCUAUUUACGGACUCCUAAAAAGGAUACCUCUUAUUUUUCCAGCUCGUGCAAGCUUGUAUAGACCCUUCGGGUCCCUUUCCUCACAAACCUCUAGGGGGAUAUCCAUGAACACCUAUGAAAGGUAAAACCUGUCAGUUUAUUACUAGAAAUUGGGAACCUUACUCUAAUUUCGAGGUCAACUCAUUGUUAGUGGUAGUGAUGAACCUGUCUACUCAUGGUCCAAACUGUAAGGAGCACAUACCUCAAUAAAAUUUCCUUCAGACAACAUUGCACGGCAAGCAUCUCGAUCCUUUCUGUAUGGAGAUAUCAAACUAGCAAUGCAAAUAAUACCCGAGUCCGAAAAUAGCUUGGCUACCUCCCCUAAUAAUCACAGAGGUGUGGAAUUUAAUUGACUUUCAAAAGAAAAAGAAAAAUGAAAAGACCAAAACAAUAAUCACCAAUCCUUCGUAUGUUUUCAGCACGAUCUUCUGCUCUAAAACUAAGAUCACGGUUUAGGCCAUGUCGAACAUUAUCUCCAUCAAGGACGUAAGUUAGGUUUCCCCUGGAGUGCAAGGCUCGACUCAAGGCACAAGCCAAAGUGCUUUUUCCUAAAAAUUAGAUCCCCAUGGUUUAAGUAAAAAAGAGAGAUUAUUAAGAGAGACAAAAGAAAUACUAGUAGUAAAAGGAGUAAGUUACUCUGGCUAAAACUUACUAGAAUUUAAUGGUAAUAGUAGUAGUAAUAUUCCAUUUUAAUCUUUGUAUCAGACCAAUUUGGCUCAUAUUUGGACUUUGGACCUAAAUUUAUAGGACUCUUUCGUAUUUUCAUAAGCACAAUGAUAAAAAGAAAUGAAGCCGCCAUGCAUACUCUACUAAUAAAAUGAGAUGGUGGGAUGGUGGGAUGGUGGGAUGGUGGGGAUUCUUUCAUAAUAGUUGUAAUCAAAGUAACCAUAUCAGUUAUAAAUAACCCUGCAUGUGCCAUGGCCAUGGUCUGUAUCUUCUGCAACUAGUCUGAAGCCUAAAGAAAGUGAGAUUGUGUUAGGUAGACAGGUUGCUGAAAACCUUUCGGUAAAGUCACAAAUAUGGAUCCUGAGAAUUAGAAACCACAAUAUUUGGCCAUGAGAAUAUGUAAUUAUACGGGAGAUAUCUGCUAGUUCUUCCAUUCAUAUAAAUAUGCUAGCUUUAAUUUUUCUAUUAACAAAGCAUUGAAUUUAGGGCACGAGUUUUUAGUGCUCCUUCAUAAUUUCACCUAAUACCUCUCGUGAUCUCCCCAUCUCUUUCAUCCUUCAUUUCUGUUUCCCAUGUCUGGCCAUCUGGCCGAUCAAAGCAGCGUUCUUCCGCAUGGAAAGCAUAUAUCACAGAAGCCCAAAGCCAAGUAACAAUAAAACCAGGAAUCGCAGGUAAACAGUCAACAUUAACAAACCUGAACCACUGAGGCCAGUAAUCCAUAUGACACAUCCUUUCUGCUGAAGUAGCCGUUGCCUCUCGAGUUUAUCUACAGAACAUUCAUGCCACACAAUGUUUGUCGACAUACCAUUUUUGCCUGGUUAUGUCAAUCAAUAGAAAUUAGAACCUAAACAGAUCCAAGUAAUACCGAAUUCCAUGCUCAGAUGAAAAUAACAAUAUUAGUAUUCGUGCGCAAAUAUUCAAUGAGCUCCGUACCAAGAAAAGCAUCUAAUAAUCUCCACAAAAUCAAUUUCCCCAAGAACUUCAACAACUUCCGAUCGAUCAUCAAGAAUCAGACAAAUCUUACAUCAAGUUUGAUGCUCAAAGUAACAUAGCACAAUCAAACAAAGAAAGUGAGCAAGUGAGAAUACCUCCAGCACCAUCAGCUUGGCCACUGACAAACGCCUUCACCGCCUUAAUCGGCGUCACGUGCCUCGAUCUCGCCUUCACUGCAUCAAACCGAACCGCAUUCCACCUCACAAACUUGGCGCUCGGCGACGACAGGGAAUCCGAAAAUCCAAGUUUUGAAUCCGAGAACGAACAGAACCUCCACGGGGCCGCGCCAAUCACAGCCAUCUUUCCGAGUCAAUAGGAGAAAGAAAGAAAGAACGAAACUCAAAGCGGAAUAUGUAAAAAAAGAUGCUCUAAGAUAUAGCAGCCCAUUUAUAGCGGGUAAUGGCAAAGCGGACUGAGAUUUUUUGUCAUAACGGUUUUCGGUUUUAAAAUUGGAGCUGCUGAAGCCGACGGAACGCUUCUACAACGGGAUUGAAGAAGAACGGUGGGUGGCAAAUUCGAUUUCUCAUCUCUCCUCCAUCCUUAAUUCCAAUUUCGCUUCCACGAAAAGUUUCCACUGAAUUCAAGGAGGCAUUCCGGAGGUUACAACAUGGCGAACUAUUUUUGAAUGAGACCUUGCCUCAAUGACUACCACGCGUUUUGUGGAGCGUGAUGCUAAACGCCUGUUUGGUUGAACAUAUCAAUAAUCAAUUGUAUUAUUGAAAAAUAUGAACAAACAGAAUUAGAGGAUCGCUUACGGUAACGAUCAUUUUUUAUGGUAACGAUCAUUUUAUUAGGUAUUAAAGAUAUUAUUUUCUAAAAUUCGCUUUUAUUUGCCUAAUCUACUAUUUUUGUUUAUCUCCAUGCAUGUUUAUUUGAUUUUCUUGAUAAAGUGAGUAAUUCAUAACAAUUAAUAUUAUUAUGAAUCAAAAUGAUACAAAUGAAAAAGUCUGAUUACAAUAUCAAAAUGUAUUUUUUGAAUACCUAUUAAAAAAAAUAUUACCAACCACAUCAUUUCCCAUUCCUCCACCCCUAAAAUGUCUUUUUAACAUAUUUCUUAUUACAAAUUCUAAUAUAAAUGAAUAAUGAUAUAAAAAUAUAAAAAUAAUAUUAAGGUAUAAAAAAUGAGUUUUAGUUUUUAUAGACAAAGAAAUUAAUUUAAAUAUAAAUUAAUAAAACUAUUUAUACUAUAUAACUUAUUUGGUUGUAUAAUAAUUUUUUAGUUUCUUUUAAAGCAAGAGAUCCAUAUUUGUUAAUCAAUCCCUUAUGUUUAAAAUGAAUUUUUUAGUUUUCUUUAAAUACGUUACAAAUUUAUCUUUAUAAUUUACCCAACCCCUUAAAAGGAGAGAAAAAAAUAUCCUAUUUGUUAAAAAAUAUAUAUAUUAAUUUGGCUUAAAGUUAAAAGUUAAAAAAUAGGAAUUUAAAAAAUAUUAGGAAUGAUUGUUUGUUCAAAUUGCUUAUGUUAUUUAGGAGUACUUCUUUAUAAAACUAAUCUUUCACUUUUUUUCAAUCAAAAAUUCAUUUUGGACAAAAAUGUCCUCAACUUGUUCUUACAAAAAUAACCUUUUAUUUUAAAAUACAUGUAAAGAAUAGAAAUAUUAAAGGGUAUUUAUGUCAAAAUUGAGUUACACUUCAAAUUUAAAAAGGGAAGAGAUUAAUUUUACAAAUUUGAACUCUUUUCAUCCAUUUUAAUAAAUUAAUCCUAAAAAAUUUAAAAAUACGUUAAAAGGAAAUUUUUCCAAAUGAAGGGAUAACACUCCCAAAUUUAAGACAAAUCCCAUAUGGAAUUCCUUAAAUAUAAUAAUUACAGAUAUUAUAAGUUCGAAUGUCAAAAUGAAAUUAUAAAACAAAAGAGCAGAUAAAUAAAAUAUUAUUUUAAUCAAAAUUAUUGCAUGGGUUCCUACACGGACUGUUUAAGUUUGAUUAGUUUAUUAUAACUAUGGACCUAUUGUUAUAUCGAUUAAUGAGUUGGAUGAAAUAAAAUAUUAUUUUAAUAAAAGUUAUUGACAACACAAAUAAUUGCAUGGGUUCCAACGCGAUGUGCAUGAUGAGCUGGCAGGUAAGUGUUACAAAAUUAUAAAAGUUAAGUUAGGUGGAUAUGUUAGAAAAGUUAGAAUAUAGUAAGAAUCUACUAACUUAAUAUAUUAUAUAAUUUAAAAAAAUUUUAAAUAUUUAUUAAGUGUCACUUUAAUUUCGGAUAUGACACACGUGGUUGCCACUUGUAUAUGGAAGGAUGAUAAUACCUAAUUUUUUAGGGUAGGUGAGUUGAAAACAGAUGAAGGUGAAAUUAUAGUGAAAGCUGACAUGGCGCCCGCUGAUCAGUAAUUUAUUCCUUUUUUUCUGUUUGAGUAAUUUUAUGAAAGAGAAAAAAAAACUUGUAAUUUAAAUAAUAAUUGAAUAUAAAUAUAAAAAAUAUAUAUUUUAAAUAUCUUAUUUUAAUUUAGGUACAAAAAUUAUUUAAUGUUUAAUAAAAUUCUAUAAUAUUAAAUAUUUUUUAAAAAUUUUGACUGCAACUCCGAUUUAACAUGAGCUAAUAUUAAACAUAAAAUAUUAUUUAAAAAUGGCUUUUAUUUAUCAAAACUUGAAUUUUUAUUUUUUAUUUAUUUUUAUAUUUACUCUAUUUCUUGAUGUUUUGACAUUGUACUUUUACAUUUGAUAACUUUUUUUUGAAGACUUUGUUGGGAUGACAAAAAUUUUAAAGAAAAGGAAAUAGUAAGUAAAUAAAGAAAAUUAAAGAAAAAUAAAUAAUUAUUUUAAUCUCAAUAACUUUUAUUUUUUAACUUUAUCUUCUUGAAUUUAAUAGGGGUAAGAAAUACUGAAAAUCUAACUCAAUCCAAAUAUGAUUCAUUUAAUAUUUAAUAAUGANGAGUGAUGACAUUGAUAUUNNNNNNNNNNNNNNNNNNNNNNNNNNNNNNNNNNNNNNNNNNNNNNNNNNNNNNNNNNNNNNNNNNNNNNNNNNNNNNNNNNNNNNNNNNNNNNNNNNNNUUAUAUGAAUAAGUGUGACUGAAUUAAUUGAAAAUAAUGACUUAAAAGGUAUAGAGUAGACUUAUACAAAAAUAAAAAAUAAACUAAUAUAGAAGAUAAUUUUAAUUAAAAAUCUAUAUAAAAAGAAAAGGGAAAAAAAAUAGGGUAACUAGCGUUGAAAAAUGAAAAAUUAUAUCAGGGUGCUUAAAUGGCUUUAAAUGGAGCUCCAAUACUUAAUAGUAGAUGUUAAUCCAAGGUUUCUCCUAAUUAAGUGUUGAUAAUUACAAAAUAAAAGUUAGACUUACAAAUAAUUCAAAUCAAGUAAAGUUCUAAGUUUCAUUGAUGACUUCCUAAAGUAUACUUUGAAGAGAUUCAAAAGACAAGAAGAGAAGACAGAAAGAGAUGGAUUUGUGAAAAUUCAUAAGGUCUAGGAACUUUUGUAAAAUAAAUCUUUUGAGUGCAUUUAGGAUUAAAUUAUUUUUCAUGCACUUGCAACACAUUCAUUUAUAGUUAGUUUUUCUUAAAAAAGAAGCUUAAAUGUUUAAAAUUAAAUGGACAUGUUUUUCAUAUUGAAACCUUAGUUUAAAUCUUUCAAAAAUACCCUAUAAAAGGUUUCUAAAUAAAUUGCUUAAGUUAUUGGAAAGUUAAGACUAAAAAUAAAAAAAAUAAAAAAAUUGCAUUGUUUUAAGAUCAAUCAAUCAAGAAAACCCUGAACGAAUCGAAUCAAUUAGGAAUCAGUUAAACAUGUUAGGUUUUCCAAGUCAAGAACGGAACAAGUAUGUUUAAAAUCUUCUCUCUCUCUCUUCCAAAACCUUAGUGCUACUAGUAGAGCUUCUAGUUUUCUUGGUCAAGGGUCGAUCGAACCUUGAAAAGGACAAAUGAUCACCUAUUGUAUAUUAAAUGCUCUAAGGACUAGUUAAUCAUUCCAAUCAAAACUCAACUAGUCCAAACAUAUUUUUGCAAUUUCAAGUGUCUAAGGUUGUUUUCUCUUAACCUCAAACAUAUAAAUUGGAGAGCUUAUAUGUAUUUAUUGGGUAAAUGACACUUAUAUUAGCAUGUUUACCUACCAUUUUCUCUCAUGCAAAACUCUCAAUUCAAGUGUAUAUAUUCUUUCACUUGCAAAUCCAUUUAAUGCACUGUCUUAUUUCAUCCCAAUUUUUUCUUAUAUUGAACCGAACUUGUGCUAGGAUUCAGAGUUGUAAGACUUCAUUUAUCAAUCAAAUAUUAAGUGGUUGAAACUUCAAGUUAUUAUUGAACUUGAAAGGGGUGUAGUGUCCAUUGGAGUCAUGAAUUCAAGCAUACAAAAUUGAAAGUGUGGUUUAAAGUCUUAGCUAGUGGAACCCUCACUCAAAAGGAAGAUUGAGAAGAGUGGACGUGGGGGACAUUUGCAUCUCUCUUCCCAUUACUAUUUACCUAUUUACUUCAAUUAUUGUUUAAUUUGAAUAGUUUUUUAUAAGUUUUCAAUGGCUCAAUUUACCCCUUUUUCUUUGAUGUUUUCUUUAAUUAGGUUUGCUUUAUAAUGGAUUUACCCAAAGUUACUAGAUUCUAAAGUUCUUCAAGUUUUCUUAACUCUCUUUUUUUACAAAAUAAGAUUUUUAAAUCAUGUCUAAGACCAUUAAGUUUUAUCAUAUAUAUAUAUAUAUAUCUCAUAUGAUACAAUUUCACACGGAUGCGCCUAAGCUUUAGGUCAUCACUCACUUGACCCAACAGUCUUACAAAGAAAAAUCAAAAUUCGUUGAGUUUAUGGUAGCAAGAUUGCAUCUCCUUGAGUUAUUGAGGAAUCCAAUAAAGAGCACCUAAGGUAAAAUUGUGUACUUAUUUCUUCAUAUUAAAUGGAUUUAACUUUGCAGUUGGCUAACCUUAUGAUUUUUACAUUUACAAANNNNNNNNNNNNNNNNNNNNNNNNNNNNNNNNNNNNNNNNNNNNNNNNNNNNNNNNNNNNNNNNNNNNNNNNNNNNNNNNNNNNNNNNNNNNNNNNNNNNUUUGUGAGUGUUUUCGUAUAAAUAUUAUGUCUUUUGUGGGAUUGAAUAUUCUUUACUUUUAUUGAUUAAUUAUAUCCCAACAAUAGAACUUUAAAUUUUUUACAUAUAUUAAAGGACUAACUAUUCACCACCCUUUUAGGUAGUUCCACCAUGUAAGAUUUUAGGUUGUCAUACACAAAUAAUUAGUUAGCAUUACUUUAAUUUAUUAAUAUGAUUAUAACACACGUUUAACCUCUUUAAGAUUUUAAAUUUAUAAAAAUACUAUUUUUAAGAUAUCUUUUUAGUGGUUUUUAACUUUUAAUUUCAUAUGAACGGACUUUUUCUAUUUUUUGUUUUUAAAAAUAAAAACUAAUAGUAAUUUCUAUUUUUUAUUUAAAUAAAUAAAUAAAAAUAGUAGUAAUUUCUAUAUAAGAAAUGGUAAGUUUUAUAUAUAAAAAAUAUGAACUUAUCUAUAUACUUAAAAAUCACUUUUAAAAUUUUUAAAAUUUGAGGUAAUAAAAUUUUUUUAACACCUUUAUUUUUUAAAACAAUUUUUAAGAUAAGUUUGAAAGAAUUCUUUCUUUAUUUUAAUUUUAUGUUUUUAAAAACACAAAACAAAAAAAAAGUCCAUUGACCUCUUAAUUAUUUAAUUUUCAAUAAUAAUAUAUUUAUAACAUAUAAAAUAAAUUAAUAUACACUUGCUUAUUUAAUAUUUUAAACAUAAAAUAUUUCUAAUAUUUUAUAUUAAUGAAAUAUAUAAAAUUUUACUCUAAUUAGUUAUCUAAUUUUUUAAAUAUAUAAUAUUUAUAAUUAUAAUUAUUUAAUUUAUAUUUAUAUUUAUAUUUAUAUAAUAAAUAAAUUUAUAUGAAUUAAAUGAACUUUAAGCAAAUCAUGUUCACUUGAUUAAAUAAGUUAGGUAGAUUGGGCAAUUAAACUUAUACACGAUCUAUUUAUUAAACCGAUUAUAUGCAUUAACAUUAUUAUGAUACAAAUAUGAUUAUAUAUGAUUCAAAUACAAUAAAACUUAGGGAGAAGUAUAUAAAUAUGCAUUAUUUAUAAAAUAUGAAUGAAAAGGAAACUCAAAAAAAGUUAUUUUCAUGGGAAGUGCAUUUUGGGAAAAAUAAUUCUUAAUUAUUUCAUGCACCAGAAUUUACUUCACAUUACUCGAAAAUGUCUCUAUCUAUAUAUAUAUAUAUAUGAAUUGUCACUCAUACCAGUCUAACUUACAUGAAGAUGAUAAAUUAUUCAACCAACAAAUGUUUUAAGCUCAAAAUAAUAUUGCUUUAAGAUCAAAACAAUGUUACUUUAAAACCAAAAUAUAUAGAAGGGCAUUUUCAAAUAAUGUAAGGUAGACGUUAUUCAAGUGUGUGAAAUGAAAAUUAUUUUCCCUAAGCAUUCUCCAUUAAAAUUAAUUUUUAAGGUAUUCUUUUUCUUCAUAUUUUAUAAAUUGUGCAUGUUAACAUAAUUUGCCUAAUUAAUGAGAUUUUCAAAUCAAAUAUGUUAAAAUUAAUAUUGUUUUCAAAAUAAUUUGUCGCAGGUGACAAAAUUAUCAUUACGCGUGUUGUAAUCCCAAGUCGGCCUCCACCAAUUUGGACAAUUUAGGCGGGUUCAAGUCAACUUCAUGUUGUAACGAUUAAUUAAAACCUUAUUCUAGAUUUAUGCCAAAAUUGAGAUGAUAAAUGACAGAGACAUUAUUAACAAGAAAUAGAAAAUGUCUUUGCCUAUCUUUGUAAAAAUGGUGCAUGAUAUCCUUAGAAUCUGACAAUAUUAUUUUAAAAACUGAAAAAUAAAAAAUAAAAAAUGUUCUAUAUAAUAGUAUAAGUACAAAAAUUAUAAAAAUUGUUAUGUCAGAUGGAUGGGUCCUUUAAUGCCUACAUUAGUUAUUGAGGGCUUCUAAGGUUUAUGAGGGUUAGAGCUCCGGAGAAAGAACGAACACGAACAAGGGAGGGAGAGCUAUUUGGGGCUUUUUGGAUUUAAGAAUUUACAAAUCUACCCUUAAUUAGUUGGUUACUUGUAACAUGGGACAUUUCCAUCCAUUGAAACUAAUAUUGAGCAAUGAAAAAGGCAAAGUGGAUAUUUAAAAAGCUCGAGUGCAACAUAUUCGAUUUUAAAUACGAGUAACCAAAACAUAAGAGAUUGAGAGAGUAAAGUGUAUUAAACCCAAAAUUUUUAUACAAACUUUUCUAAAGCAACUAUCAAAUACACUUUAAUUAUGAUUAGUCAAAGUUUUAAGGGUAAAUGAAGUUAACUCUUUUUUUUUCCCUUAAUGCAUGCCUAAUGGCAAUCAACCUUCAUCUUCUAUUCAGAUUUCAAAUUAUUCAUCAACCCCAUUUCAUAUUUGGUUUGCAGACAAUGCCUUUUUUGCUAUGGGGUUGGUAAGCCUAUGAGAGCAGCAGAGAACAAUAUAUAAGAUCAACUUAUCACACCUACAUAUAGAAAAUCUGUGUUUUACACUAAGGAGCUGCUCCUCCUGUGAGAAGGUGGACUCUCUUUCAUAACAAUUACCUGUUCGUUUCCAACUUCUUCAUCAUCUCCUGAACCAUCUCCAUCCAUUCCGCUUGAUGUUUUACCAUCAAUGUUGUUGCCUUUUGAUGCAGAAGUAUUAGUAGAUACCCGAAAUGCGCUUUUUAAUCCCUUCAUCAGCCUUGCGCGGAGAUUCUUCUUAGUUCUUGGAGUUGGAGUUUCAUUGAAGAGCCCUUCCGAGAGAGGAGACAGUACUCCAUCCACCGUGGUCUCCCCUUUGAGUCUAAACCUGAAGCUUGCAGAAGAAAUGGAUCCCCUUUCCCCUCUUUCUAUCUUAUUGGUUGAGCUCAAACGGAAACUCGCGGACCGGACCGAGCCCAAUGCAUUCGCCUGCUUCUCAGACUCUUCCAGAGUCUUCUUCAUGGCCGUGAGAUCUUCCUCCAAGCUUUUGAUUCUUGUGACUGUGGCCCCCAUUAUGUCUUUGAGUUGGGCAACCUGGCGAAGGGCUGCAUCUCGCUGCAGGAUUCCACCGAGGGUGAUGGAGCCAAGGUCGCCUCUGACGUGAUGCCGGGGAUGAGGUAGCGGUGGCGGUUGCUGUUGGGCGGUGGUGGAGAAAAUGGAGCGGGUGUUGAACUGCUCCACCAACAUGGCUCGGAUUAUAAAUCUCAAUGGCAUUCUAGGGUUCUGCACUACAUGCAUGAGGAGCUCAGGUGACAGCUUGUUGCAGUUUACUGCAUUGCAAAUUCGAUUUUUCUGUUCCUCGCUCAUCUUCUCAUUGUGCUCCUGUGAAUAAAUUUAAACAAGAAGCAAGAGAAAAACACUCAGGAAAAUAAGCCAAUGAUUUUUCCAGGAAUUGCCAAAGAAAAAAAUACUAAAAAAAAUUAUUUUAGAAAAUAUGGAAAAAAAAAUAAAAUUAACCAAAAUUUUCUAUAUUUUAAAAUUAUUUAAUUUUUAUUUUUAUAUAUUAAAAGAAAAUAAAUUAAAUUAAAUAUAUUAAAAAAAACUUAUUAUUUUUAAAUCUUUUUUUUUUCUUAUUUAAAAAAUUAAAAAUAUUUUAUAAAUUGGCUUAAUUACCUUAACAUAGAGAUCGACAAUUUUAUACAGGAUGUCGUGACUCCGAGUUAACCGACAAUGCAUUGAAUCGGCAACUACUUGAAAAUCCUCGAUUCCCACCGUCUUAACGUCGUCAACAGAGCUCAGGAAGGCAUCCCCGUUUUCCAUCGAACUCAGCGCCUCAAUACAUCUACUGACAAGUAACGCCGUUUCUUCUGCUUCUGGAAGCAGUUGCAGGCACGAUCGGAAAAUUAUCGACGCGUACUCUCGGUUCACAGCCACCGCACUACAGAAGUAAGUUUCCGCUAACUGCUGUAAGUUCUCGACACCGUCUCCGUUCGUCUCCGCCAUCUCCAGCAGCGACGCCGCCGUUCUCAGAGCCCCGACGUUGAAAGGCGUUAUCACCGGGUUGCUGCCGUAACAGAAGUCGAUGACGAGAGUGAACGUUUCUGCCGUUAUGUUUAACGGCGGGGACAGGGUUAAUUCGGCGACGCCCGUUAGCUCCCGUUUCAGGUAAGCGCUUCCUGACGCGAGGGGAUCCUAAAAAAAGGGAAAUAUAAUAAAUGCCCCUGUUCAAUUCAUUAAUUGCGGAAAAGCACCGCUCAUGUUUUACAAAAAUGGGGCCUUUAAUUCAGAGAAAUUAAUUAAAUUGUCACUCUAAAUAUAGAUAGAUUUCAUUUUGGUUAUAGACUUAUAGUCAACAUGUUGUUAUUUUAACAUGUGUUUAUUUUUUAAUAAUAUUUCUUUUUAUUACACAAUAUUUCACUAUAAUUGUACUUUUACCCAAGAUUAUUUUUUGAAAAAAUUAUUAUAAAAAUUCUAAUUUUAGCUAAAGCAAAAAGAAAAAGAUGUGUUGUUUUUAUUAUAUUUUUUAAUUAAAAAUAGAAAAUAAAAACCCAGUUGGCGGCUUCUACCCUUCACCCAAGAAAUAGUAUAAAAUAAGAGAAAUUCAUGGAAGCAUAAGGAAAAAAUAAAAAACAAAAAAAAUAAAAAUAAACAAAGAAAUUGUAGAUCAAAGACCCAGGGAUGAAUUAAAGAAAAAUACCUUGUGCAGUUGGAAACAUAAACCCUGAACAUGUAUCAAGACAUCAGUUUCACACCCUGUGGCCAGUGCCCUGAUAUGAAAAUGAACAAAUUCAAAAGGAAAAAAAGAAGAGAGAUAGAGAGAGAAGAUUUGAACAUUAGAGCGAGUCAGGAAAAUUAUUUUUGAAAAAGGGGAAGGAAAAAGAAACGAAAAUUUACCAUGCCUCCACUCUGGCAUGGAGAGGUGUAGGAGGAGAGGAUAUUGAGAGAGAGAGCGAAGGGGUGGAGGUGGAAGAAUCUUCAUGUUCUUCCUCAUAGAUGGUCUCCACCAACCCUAAAUGCCUCCAAGCUUUCAUGGCCUCUCUUCUCCUUCUUCUUCGUCUUCUUCCCUAAGACACACACUCAGAGUCUUCAAACCUUUUUCACUGCUGCUGUUAUUGCCAAUUAGGGUUUCUGGAUGGGUGAGAAAUUCCCUAUUCAGCUAUAAAUAUUUAGGGCAUUAAUUGCCACCAUGUGAAAUCAUAAAUGCUACCCAUUACUCCUCUUUCUCAAGUCUUUUCCAUAAUCUAAAUCCUUUACGGAUUCCUACCAAAAUUCUCUUGGAUACUGCUCCACUCCUUUUCUCCACCAUCUCAUUAAUUAUUUUCCACUACUUAAUUUCAAUAAAUUAAAAAAAAAAUACCAAUUACUUCCUUAUAUAUAUUGACUCCAUUUUCUAUAGCCUCUCCAUUACUCCCCUCACUUAACAUUUUUCCUAAAGAGUUUGACCUACUCAUAAAAAAUUUUGGUAAUAUAAUUCAAACCAGUAACUGAAAGGGUAAUGACAUAUUCAUGAGUUUUUUGUUUUUUUUUUUCUUUUUUUUUUUUCUAUUUAUGUAGGAUGUAUUUUUGCAGAGAUGGUUCAUAGUAGUCAAUUGCUGGCUUUGAAAGUGAUUAGCCAUGUCUUCCAAUCUUUACUAAAGAAUCUAGCUUCAGUGGAAAAAAUAUAUCAAUAGUCAGAUUUUCUGUUUAAUAUACAGAUGCUAUGUCAAUUUUGUUUAUUAUUUUUUAAAAUGUCAGUUUAUUACAAGCUUAAAAUCAGCAUGGAUUCAUUUGAUUCCUUUUCUAAAUGAGCUACUAAAAUAGGACCUAUGAUUGCUACUGUGAGCUUCACUCAAUCUAUCGGAUCAUAUAGAUAUCCCUUCAACACAACAUAGGUUAUCAAAAGGGUCUCAGAGACCCACCAAAGCACAAAUGUUUUGGAUCUUUUAAAAAAAUAGAUUUCUAUUCAAAGAAUGCAUAACCACAUGGAUAAGUUUGACAGAGAUCCACUUCGGGAUUUUCCUUGGAAGGAAGUAGGAAGGAAUUUGAAAUGUAAUAAUUUCAAUUCAUACAAAUACAAAAGAAAAUAUUAUCUAUUAAUUCAAAUAUUGUACCUUUCAAUCAUGUAAAUAUUGUCCACUUUGGGUCCAAGGGACCUCAUAACUAUAAAACACAUUUACAUUAUUAAAAGAAGUUCAUACUUAUAUAAUGUGAGAAAAUUUUUCCCUCAUCUAAUGUGGAACAUCAUAUAAAUAAUUAAAGAUACUUAUUUAUAAAAAUGAUAACUCCUUAUACUUUAUAAAUUGUUCUAACAUUUAGAUCUAUGAAUGGUUCUAAUAGCUUGGUAUAAAUAGUUAAGUGGGUUAUGAUUAUAAUGGUUUAAAAUUGUAAUCAUGUCUAACAUAACAAAAACCGAUUAUAAAAAAUAAUUUCACCCUUUUUGUUUUUCAUCAACAAAAUCAAUAUCAAUUAAUGUCUAAUAAUUUUCAAUAAAUGGUUAUAGUUGUUUGUAGUUAGAAAUAACAGGUCUAACUAUUUAAGUCUAAAAAAUUAAUACAUAAAGGCUAUUUUUUAUUCUAGAAAAAUUGGAAAAAAAAAAUAGAGAAGAAAAGUGAAAAAAAAAAAAAAAAAAACAAAGUAAAAAAUAAACUUAAAAUUAAUAAAUUAUUUUAUAUGCUUUUUCAAAUUUAUUUCCUUUAUUUUCCUCUAUUAUAUAAAAAUUAAAUAAUUUUAAAUUGGCCUAAUAGGAAAAAAUUUUUUGAUCAUAACCAUAUAAAAAACCAUUGUCCCAUCUUCAUCAACAAAAUGAAUAUCAUUUAACUCAAAUAUAGUGCUAACACCGAUUCCUUUGAAGUGUAAAAUGUUUAAUUGAUUCUAACUUUACAAAUGCGUAGUUGAUAUAAUUUUUAAAAGAGGAAAGAAAAAAAAGAAAAGAAAAAUAUUAUAACAAAGCCAAGGACAAAUUUAGAAACUAUGCUUAAAAAUAGUUUUAUAUUAUUCAAAACAUAUAAUAAUUUACUUAAAAAAUACAUUUGACAAAUUUUUUUUUAUAGAAACAAUUUUUUGAGGGUUUGUUUUGAAAUAAAUUUGAGGUCUUUUGAGUUGUGUUUUGUAGACUACAGUGAAUAACAAUUGAAAAUAUAAAAAAUAUUUUGAAAACUUUUGUAUUGAAUAUAAGUGACAAGCGUAUAGUAUUUUUUUAUGGAGAAUAAAUUGAGAAAUUUAUUCUUCAUAUUAGAGUUCUUAAAUAAAAUUUUAUUUUUGGAAGUUAUUUUUAAAAAAUUAUCUUGUUUUCCGAAAAAAUGAAAGUUAGAAAGAGAUUCAUCCUCACUUUUUUGCUCAGUCUUUUUUUAAGUUUAGAGCAUUUAAUAAUUUAAAAGGUUAUUUGAUUAAAAGGUCUUUGAAAACUCAAUUUUUGAAAUUUAACCUUUUACCCUUUUUUUUACCUUAUUUGGACAAAAAUGAACUUAUUAUUUUCUUAUAAAAAUAACUCUCUCUUUUAAAAUCUAUAUGUAAAUACUUGAAAUGACAAAAGACAUUUAUGUUAACAAUUGGUUAUUUUUUAAGAAAAAAUAUGUGGAAAUGGUUAGAUUCACAAUUUAGGAAUUAUUUAGUCCAUUUUAACCAAAUAUUUCUAUUUUAAAAGAUGUAAACCAUUUAUAACUCUUCAUCCUCCAUUCUUUGUUUGUCCUUAUGAAGUUUAGAACAUUUAAGAGUAAUUUAAUUAUAUUCAAUGUCAAAUAUAAAAAAACGAUUGUAAUGUAUUAUAAGAAAACUAAGAAUAUGUUUAAUCAUUGUCUUUGAAAAUAUUUUUGUUCUUUAAAAUAAAAAAAUAUAUUUUUAAAUUUAGAAAACACGUUUUGAAAAUUUUCUUAAGGACAACAGUUUUUAAAAAUAUGUUUUGAGAAUGUGUGUUUUUAAGAACAAAUUUAAAGCAUUUUUAGUUAUUUUUUGUAAUAUUGUUCUCGAUAUCAAUUAAAAAGCUUUAAUAUAAAUAAUGUUAAUUUAAAUACAUAAAAAUCUACACAAAGGCAUAUGGGUUUUAACGUGGUUCAGUUAAUUAUGCUUACAUUCAGGAAUGAAAUAAAAUCAUUGUAUUAUAUUAUAUAAAAUACGAAAACCAAAUGUAACUAUUGAGUUUCCCAAACAUCAUUUUCCCACUAAAACCACGAAUACCCACCAUAUGUCUUCACAUUGUUAUCCAUCUUAUAUAAUCUUUAUAAGCUUAUUUUCAUCUCAUGACCCGAUAGUCUUCCUUAUUCUAUAAGGAAAUCUAAAAUUAUAAUAACAUAUCAAUUUAGGAAAUAUUUUAUGUUAACCCAAGGGUUCUCCUGAUCGGGUUUUGAUGAUAAUAAAUCAUGGUUAAGUGACUAAUUGAUUUGAAUGGUAAAGAAUCUCAGGUAUAAAUUCGAAAAUUCAUCAAAUGACCAAAUUGAUACAAGAUUGAGCUUUUGGAAAACUUUUGAUCAUAGGAAACAAAUGUAAAAAGAAUGCAUGGGUGCACUUAGGAUUUUCAUACCGUUUCAUGCAUCUUUGAAAACUUGGUUUAUCCUUUAAAAUUCUGAUUUAAUUAAAACCCGAGUUUUAUCAAAUGUACCUUAGGCAAAACGUUUUAAAAUUGGCAUAUUAAUUCACCUAAAGACCUUGCCUAAGUGUUAGAAAAGAAAGGAAUUGAAAAGGAUAGGUUUUCGGGGCCAAAAGGCUAAAUCGGUCGAGGUUUUGGCCAACCGGCUCAACCGGUUGGGAAACCAGUCAACCGGUUACCCUUGUCCAGUCGAGGUCCGGUCGAGGAGUGCCAAAAACACUCUCUCUCAUCCAGUAGCUUCCUCUUCCCGGUUGAGGUUCACCCAUUCCCGGUCAAGGUCUGGUCGACCUCCGGUUGAGGCAACGAUAACCUGCCAAAACAUUAAAUGCUCCAACGGCUAGUGAACCAGUCAACCCCUAGCUCGACUGGUUGAGGUUGUCUUUUGCUGUUUUUGGCUCCCAAGCUUAGAAACCUAUAAAUUGAGAGCUCCACUUCAUUCAUAACAUAAAGAACAUUUGCAAUCAAUUGUCUACCUACUUGUUCUUGGCCUGAAAGCUCUAAUUUCUUUCUUAGUGCAUUAAAUCGUCACUUGCAUAUCUUUUAGUGCACCCUUGUGAGUUAUCCUAACUUUGUUUUGUAUUUGAGCUAUCUUUAAGCUAGGUUGAGGGAUUCAUUCUUGUAAAAACUAAGUGUUAAAGCCUUCAAAAGGUUUGAAUCUUGAAGAUAUUGUGUAAGAGCCCAUUGGAGUCGGAAUCCAAGUGUAAAAAGAUUGGAAGCUUGGUUGAAAUUUCAAAUUAGUGGAACCCUCACUCAGUUAGGAGAUUGAGGAGAGUGGACAUAGGCAAGGAAGUAUCGAACCACUAUAAAAUCCGAAUUUGAAUUCUCUAACUCUAUCUCUUUAUUUUUUUUAUUAUAUUAUGCUUGAACUUGUUGUGUUGAAAAAGUUUUUAAAAAACUCAAUUCACCGCCCCCUCCCCCCUUUUAGGUGUUUUUCUUAAUUAAGCAAAACCUUUAUUUUCUCAUUUUAUAUAAUAUUAUUUACAAAAAUAAAUUUAUAUUACUUAAGAACUUGUGACACUUUUCAACCAUUUUCACCUUGGAUCUCUCCAUGAUAUAAGGGAUUCACUUUCAAUAAAAAUUCUUUUUGCCAUCUUCUUGUACAGUGUAUUUUCUAUGGCUCUUCCAAAAAUAUUCAUCAUAAACUAUGAUACAACAAAAAAUCAUUUUGUUAUCCUCUUGUAUACCCUAUUCUCUUUGGCUAUGUUUGAUUCCCGUAAAAUGCUAAGGAAAGGAAAAAAAAAAAUCAUGUGGAAAAUUAUUUUCUUUAGUUUGGAUUACAUGGAAAAUAUGAUGGAAAAAAAAUAUAAAGGAAAAUAUGAUGGAACAUAUCAUGAUAUUUUCCCUACUAUUUUUCUUAAAAAAUAAUGAGAAAAAUAAGAGAAAAAGAGAAGGAAAAAGUUAGGGAAAAUUUAUCGGGCUAUUCACCGAUUGCGCUCUUCACAAACUCAGUCCUUUGCUACACUUUGACUGCGCUGCCUUCAUGGCUGACAACACACCUUCCACCACCACCCCUCUCCUCCGCCCCAGUCGGCGGUGGUUUAGCUCCCUCCGUCUCAAAACCACUCUCUGUUGAGCUCGGGGGCUUUGUGGGCAACCUGGGCACCUACAUACCCAUCGUCCUAACUCUCACAUUGGUCAACCACCUGGACUUCUCCACAACCCUCAUCUUCACGGCUCUAUACAACAUCUCCACCGACUUUCUCUUUAGCAUCCCAAUGCCUAUCCAGCCCAUGAAGUCCAUCGCUACCGUUGCCAUCUCCGAACCCCUCCUCUCCCUCCCCCAAAUCGUUGUCGCGGGUCUCUCCAUUGCCGCCACCCUCUUCAUCUUUGGCACCACUGGCCUCAUGUCCCUCCUCUACCGCUUCAUCCCCCUCCCCAUCGUCCGCGGCGUCCAGCUUUCCUAGGGCCUCGCCUUCGCCUUCUCCGCCAUCAAAUACAUCCGUUACAACCAGGACUUUUCCUCCGGAAAAUCCGAUCCACCUAGAAAUUGGCUCGACCUCGACAAAAUCGCACUUGCCCUUUUCUCUAUUCUGUUCUUGGUCUUGGUCACUGGUUCUGGUGAUUUUGGCGAUGAAGCUAUCUCCUUGGGUGUUCAUGAAGAAUAAAAUGAUUCUGUGAAUCGCUCUUGUCAUCGUGUGCGACGGAGAUUGCGGAUUAUGUCGUCAAUUCCAACUGCUUUAAUUGUUUUUAUACUAGGCUUGGUGCUUUGCUUUAUUCGAGACCCUUCAAUUGUGAAGGAUCUUCGAUUUGGUCCAUCUAGAAUCCAUCUCUGGGAAGAUUGGAAAAUUGGGUUCUUCCUCUGAUUUUUAGAAAAUAAGAAUAUAAAAUUUAUUUUAUUAUUCUAUAAAUUGAUAACCAGACAAAUUAUUGAAUUUAUUUUCCUUUUAUUUUUCCUUGACUUCUUUUUCAUAGUUAACCAAACAAAAGAAAAUAAUUUUUUUUCCCUUGAAUUUUUCAUGGAUAACCAAACAAGCGAAAAAAUUUAUAUUACUUUCUUUACCUUUUUCUUUCCUUCCAAUUUUAUUUCUCUUGCAUUUUCCGGGAACCAAACAUAGCCUUUAGCUCUUAUAAAAAUAUUCAUUAUAAACUAUGAUACCAAUUUGUUAUGCCAAUGGAAAUUGUAAUGUAAACAAUGUUAGUUUAAUAACACAAAAAUAAAAUAAUCCACAUAAAGAUACAAGAAGUUUUAAUAUAGUUCGACCAAUCAUGUCUACGUCCACAAUUGAGAUAAAAUUAUUUCACUAUAUCAUAAAGAAUAUUACAAGGGACAGAAAUCAGAUACAACUAUCGAGUUUUCAAAUAUCUCAUAUUUUAUAAUUCCUUAUGUCUACACUCUAAACCACAAUUCUCUUACUUCAUCGAUUAUCUCUCAUCUUCCUUACAUUUCUAUUCAUCUUGUGUAGUUUUUACAACUCCACCUUUAUCUCAUGAUCGUUCCCUCUAUUUAUGUUUUUUACUUUACCUUCAACUAAAAUUUCUUUUAUCAUUAUCUCAUGUACUUUAUUCUUUUUAACUUGAGAUUUAAUGCUAUUGUUGUGUCGACGAAAGUUUUAAUACAAACAAUGUUAAUUUAAGAAUACAAAGGUAAGACAAUUCAUACAAAGAUACAUGGACUUUUAAUGUGAUUCGAUAAAUCAUGUCUAUAUCCACAAAUAAGAAAGAAUUAUUCUACUAUACUAUAGGGAAUAUUAUAAAUGACAUAAACCAAAUACAAUUAUUGAGUUCUCAAUACAUCUCAUAUUUCCUCACCCCUUAUAUUUAUACUUUAACCAUGAACCACGAGUCUCUUACUCCACCAAAUGUCUCAUAUUCUUCCUCACAUCUUUAUCCACCUUGUAUAAACUUUAUAAGUUCAUUUUUUAUCUCAUAACCUUUUCCCUUCAUGACCUAAAAUAUUUAUAAAAAUAUUGCUAAUAAUUUUAUUUAUUCUAUAAGAAAAAUGUAAAAUUAUACAGACAUAUCAAUAUAGAAAAUAUUGUAUACAAUAUUUUUUUAUAAAAAAAUGAAUAUAUACUAAUUAGGAAUUUUAGACACUUUUCAACAAAAAAAAUAUAAAUUAUAUUUUGAAACUUUUAUAUUCUACAUAAGUUAUUGAGAAAACUAAUUUUCAUAUGUGAAUUCUCAAACACAACUUUGUUAUUGAAAAUAAUUUAUCAAUAUUUUCAAGAAUGAUUCUUAAAAACUAUUUUUUUAAAUAUUCUCAAACAAGAUUUAAUUCUCUGUGCUUUAAAUUUUUAUUUAUUUUUUUUUUGCUUUUAAACCAAAAUCAGUAGCAUUAACAUCGAUUUUUUUUAGUGUAUAACAUUUACUAGGUUCUAAUUUCAUAAAAUAUAUAAUUAAUUUUUUUUUAAAAUGGUACGACCCAUUUUUGGUUAAAAUGGUGUAUUAAAAUGUUCUAUCACACUUGUAAUUACUUAACAAUACUAAAUCGGUUUUUACAUCAUUAAACAAAAUUCAUACAUAUAUAAUAUCAUAAACUUCUUUCCUUAUCUGAUAUAAGAUAUUAUAAAUAUCGUCAUAUAAAUACAACAUCCUCGUUGUAUCCCAUAUAAAUGUAAUGUUAGGUAAAUAAACACUUUUUGUAAAGUUGAAUAAACAAAGAUUCACAUUGGGUCAUAUUGACUUCAAUAAUAUUUCUAAACACCCACUUUAAACCAUAUAAAUAUUAUUCACUUUAAACCUAAUAUAUGACUUUAAAAAUACGUUUAUGUGGUUAAGAUGAGCUCAUAUAUAUUGUAUAGGAGGAAAAUUUUGUAACAUUAUACAUGUACGAGAUUCCUUAAUCAUAUAAUCGCGUUUUAAAGCUGUAAAAAUCUCUUGGAUAUAAUCUGGAUAAUAUCUACAAAAUUAAAAGCAGUUCAUUAUAUUUUUUAUUUUUUUAUUUGUUUUUAACUUUUCUAAACUCAUUUUUAAAAAUAAAAUAAAAAAUACUUUUCAAAUGUAAUUUAAGACUUGAUUUUCAACGAUCGAACCUAGGCCUCCUGGGCAUUCCAAGAGAUGCAAGCCAAGAAGGUAUUUUGGCCCUACAAGUCAUACAUGAACUUAACUAUAUAUAUUUUAUACAUAGGCUUUAGUUUUAAUUAAAUUAUUUUAACAAAUACACAUAUAUAAAUAAAUAUCCAUGAGAAAAAUAAAAUAUUGAAUUAAAAUUUUAACAAGUAAAUGAAUUGUGAUUAUUUUACUUUUAAGAAUAAUUUAAUUGAUUGUUAAUAAUAUGAAAAUUACAAAUCAUGAUAAUUUUUUUAACAUGUUUUUAUUUCUAUCAAAUAUUUUAGACCUUUUUUUUUCAUCAAAUCUAUCAAAGAUUUCAUCAGAAAAAUGUUUCAUAAUUCACUGCCAUUUAAUAUGAAUUUUCAUUUUUUUAUUUGGGUAUUGAUUGUGCCUGUUUUAAUUGGUAUUAAAUCCAAACGACGUCGUUUUUGAAUUACUAAUCCAAGCAAUCUCGUUUUAAAAUAUUAAUAAAACGAAGUCGUUUUUCCUUUGUCCAUAUAAACGACGUCGUUGAGCACUUCGUGAAACAAAACCCACCGCUAUAAAUAUCCAGAAACCCUAACCCUAAUAACCCUUCUGGUUGCCGUCACUUGGUGUUGCAGAGAGAGGCGAGGGACCAAGAUGAAGUACAAUCCGAGGGUUUCAAGCUCCCGCCGGAAGAGUCGGAAGGCUCACUUCACGGCGCCGUCGAGUGUCCGGCGAGUGCUGAUGAGCGCACCACUCUCCACCGACCUCCGCAGCAAGUACAACGCUCGCUCCAUGCCCAUUCGCAAGGACGACGAGGUCCAGGUCGUUCGGGGAACCUUCAAGGGCCGUGAGGGGAAAGUCGUUCAAGUUUACCGCCGGAAAUGGGUCAUCCAUGUCGAGCGGAUCACUCGCGAGAAGGUUAACGGAUCCACCGUCAACGUCGGCAUCAAUCCUUCCAAGGUCGUGAUCACAAAGCUACGCCUCGACAAGGACCGCAAGUCACUCCUCGAUCGCAAGGCCAAGGGUCGCGCGGCCGCCGACAAGGACAAGGGCACCAAGUUCACCGCGGAGGAUAUCAUGCAGAGCGUCGAUUGAUCGGUUCGUUUUUGUCUUUUUGUAACAGGUUUCUGUCUUAGAUGCUCUUUAUCAUGUUUUGUUUGGAUGGUUUAUUUUGAGGAUUUUGCAUUAUAAGUUGAGGUUCAGACGUUUUCUCUGCCAAAAUAUGGAUUUUAUGAUACCUUAAUGGAAUGUUCCUACUUCUUUAUGGUAUGAUAUUGUGCCUAGCAUUCUCAAUUAGCAAAUGGAUUUGUUUAGCUUCUUUUUCCGUGCGAUAUAUUAACUAACAGGGAGCCUUUAAUAUCCUAUUCAUUCCUGAAUCCAAACAAAGGCCUUUUGUUUUGGGUUCCAUCUGCCUGUAAUAUGCUAUGCAUCUGCCUGUAAUCCUUUCUUAGAGUUAGGAAAUACUUGUUUGUAAGUAUUUUCCUCAAAUUCCAAAAUGGAAGACGUGGGAACACAUAAUCAAGUUUGUGUUUGUUCUAUGCAUUGCCCUAGAUGGCUGAAUCUCACUUCACCUGUGAGUGUUUGGACUCCCGUCUGGUGAGGUUGUAAGGUACAUUUUCUUGAUCAUACAAUCAAAUAAGGUGAGGCUUACUGACUAUCGGUUUUCAUUUAUUGGUUGGACUUUACAACCGAGGAUUAUGCUUUGCUUUGCAGAGUCUGGUUAUAUAUGUAUAAUUGCAACUGUAAGGGCAUGCUGUUUGAGCAACAAAUUUUCCUCUAGAAAAUAAAAACUAUCCAAAACUAACAUGUUUUUUGAACUCUUCAAAAGCUUUUUCCUUUCUUUUCUUUUCUUUUGUUUUGAAGGAUGAGACCAAGCACACAUAAAAGACUGAUGGUCAAAACCAGGUGUGCGCUCAUUCAUACCGAGAAAUAGAAAUAAUAGUGCAGGAAUCCAAAUAGGAAGUACCUUCAUGGAUUGAUCUCUCAUGAAGCUCCCCUUCUGUUAAUUUGAGGUGUGAAAUGGUGGGUGAAAUAAUCAUAGAAAAGAAACCAAAAGAAAUACAUAUCCCUUGACAGGAUUCCGGUCAAUCAACUGGAAACAUGCGCUUCAUGAAUGUUAAAUUUAAUAAAGGUCAGAGCUUAGAAUAAAUUAUGUUUGGUUAUAACCCCUCAACCUUUUACAUGUUUUAUACUAUUGUUCCUUUGUAUUCUUUUGUUCCCUUGUAUUCAAAAUCUAACACUUCAUCCCUCAACAUGUUUUGCACUUUGUUACCUUAUAUUUGAAGUUUGACACUUUAAUCCCUCUAGUUUGUUGAAGAAUAGUACUUCGACAUCAUUUAUGAACCCUCCAUGAUUAUAAAAAGGAUUGCUCUGUUCUGGAAGCAAGUUUGAAUUCAGCCCUCCAUGAUUAUAAAAAGGAUUACUCUGUUUUGUACAUUAGUUUAAAUUUGGAUAAAACUAGCUUCAAACGGACAUUUUUGAAGUGGAGUUUCUUAAUUGGCCAAUUGUAUUGAUUUUUUAUUUUAGAUUUUAGAGAAGUUUGAUUUUCUUAUUUCGAGAGAUAUAUGUCUGAAAUUUGUGAUUUUCAGAUCCAUUUACAAAGUGAUAUUUUGAUUGUCUUUAUUCAAAUUGUUGUUGUUUAACAAGCAAACUUGGUGGUAAAUUGUUGUUUAAAGUUACGGGGCAAAGUAUUGAAUUUUGGGACUUCGAAUAUGAGGUUUGUGGGGGCAAGGCAUUCUAUUCUUAUUUGACUGACUAUGAGCUUUGGGGGCAAAGUGUUAUUAUUUAACCAGUUGCUGGGUUUAACCCAAUAUUCUUCAUUGGAAGAGCUUCUUAUACUUUGACUCAUUGGUGAACUGGACACUAAUGCACGUAUCUUUACUGGUAAGAUGAUGACUCACAGGUGAACGGAAGUGAACCGUUUUGCGAUCGACGCAAAUUGGAGAACGUGUAUUUGAAGGUAAACCAUUUUGCAGAGAACAAAGAAUUAAAUUUGUUCUUAAAUAUAAGGCUAUUGGGUUGGUCACCCCUGACAGAGGAGUAAAACUUAUAGCUUCAGUCAUCUAUGGAUACUGUGAUUUCGUUCUGUAAACGGUAAAACACCAAAGAGUGCCAAUUGAAACAUGAAACUUAACCAAAUCAGUUUGGGGCAGACAUUUACUCCGAAAAUAACAAGGUUUGAAAUGUCGAAACUAUCAUUGAUAUUUCGUCCAAAAACUCGAUAGUAGGAAAAAAUAAUCGGAAAAAAUCGCAUUAUUGUGAAAUAUCAGCGAUAUUGCGAUCUUUAUUUUUUUAGAAAAAUGGGUAUUUUUUGAGGAAAAUCAUGAAAAUUUCUCAUUUAAGGACCCCUCACUAUUCACAUGCUUAGUGGAACCCUAUUCACUCCACUCCUCUUACUAGUUGCACUUUGCAGAAGGGCGCGACUCGAACCCAAGUCAAAAAUUUACAUUAAACCUUAAAAACUAAAAGUUGAUUUGCACUUUGAAGAAGGGAGAAUCGAACCGAAGGCAAAAAGUUUACAUUAAACACUAGGGCAGAUUCACACAUAAAAUUAAAAAUGCACAAAUGCAUGUAUUUAAUUUCAUUAUAAAAACAAGAUAUUAAAAAAAUAUUUUAAGAAAUAAAUAUAUUUUAAUUAUUUUAUUUUUUAAUUUUACUUAAUUGAUUAUCAAAAAUAUAAAAAUUAGUGACUUUUUUUUAUAUCAUUUACAUGAUGAUAAAAUAUAAAAAAUAUAAAUAUAAAUAUUAUUGUUAAACAAUAUUUAAUAGAACUUAAUAAUAAAUAUAUGUUUACAAAAUUCCAUAACAUUAACUAUAAGAAAUUAUAUCCUACAUAUAUUAAUUUUUUUAAUAAAAUAAUUUUUAAAUAUCUAUUAUUAUUUCUUCUAUCAUUUCUUAAAAUUUUUCUCAGCAUUUGGAUCUAAUUUUGUCUCAUCAAUUUUAUUUUUUGUCAAAAUACCUCUCAAUAUUUCCUGAUAUAUUGAUAAAAUCCAAAUAUCAUUAUAUAUAUAUAUAUGAGAUUACUAAUAUUUUCGAAAUAACUCUCACAUUGAGAAUCCUGCAGAUCACGAUCAAAACAAAAUGUUCUGGCACAUUGCAAUAAAGCAGUCUCCAAUAAAUUUGGCACUACCACUCUCCAACAAUCCUCCACUGGAGGGUAAGAAAAUGUUGCAUCUAUGUCAAAAUGAUGAGAAAACGAGGAAAAAAAGACCACAAGUAGGAGGCCUGAACAAAAAUACAAUCCAUCCACAAUCCAAAACCUAGAAAUGAAUAUAUUGUGGAAUUAUUUAUUAAGAGCUCCCUUUCAGGCGCCACUGAAAAAUAAAAAGGGUAUGGACUUCAAACGACAGAAUACUCCAACAGCAGAAAACCACUCAAGGCUUGAGAGCAAGGGCCAGCCCAAACCUAGGAGUUUUGUCCAGCGCCUUGGUNNNNNNNNNNNNNNNNNNNNNNNNNNNNNNNNNNNNNNNNNNNNNNNNNNNNNNNNNNNNNNNNNNNNNNNNNNNNNNNNNNNNNNNNNNNNNNNNNNNNAAGCAAUGCUUGGGGUACCAAUGGUGACUGAAAGAUCAACUGCUGGUGACUGAUUCAAUGCAACUGAUGUAGUGAGUGUUGCAUGAUCAUGGAAGUACUGAACCUCCAGCUGCAUAAACAAAUGGCAAACAUAAGAACGUAAAAACUCAACAUAUGUAUAUAAAAUCUCACCUAGCAUAGAGGAUGAUUUGUACCUUGCCAGAAUUGUAAUCAGGAAAUUUGAAUGAGGCAAUAGUCUUAGUGGAUGGAAUAAUCUCUGUGAAUGUAAGGGUUGUAUUGAUCUGCCAUAACAAUGAAAGCAGAAGAUGCUUAUUGCAGACACAAAAACUCUUAGUAAAAAUUUUAAAACCGAUAAACCAAGUGACCUACAUUUGACCCUGUGUCAGCUUUUACAUCAAUGACAGAAUUUUUGUAUUUGUAUUGCACUGCUACAUCGCCAGUUGAGAGUCCUCCUUUCUUCACUGCAGUUGAUGUGAUGGCCUAAAGAACAGUAGUUGGCAUUCAGUUGUUGCUCCCAGUUCACAUUGCACAGGAUAAAAAAUACAAAUAGAUGACAGUCACAACCGCCACCAAAUGUUGUCAGGAAGCAAGCAUGAGCCCAAAACCAUUAAUACCAAAUUUAAGGACCAAAAGUUAAAUUUUGUAUAUUAGAGAUUAAUAAAUACCAUUAGGUGUGAUAAAUGAUACAAAUAACAACAGGUGAAAUAGUAGUAUAACUAAUAUUUGCACUAAGAAAGAACAAAACUAUUGUACACUAUGGAAAAUGGAAAUGGCUACAUGUGCACUGAUUUGGAAUUAGAGCUUCAUCAAAAAAAUUACUUAGUCUAUUGAGCAGGGUGUACAAAUUGAACUUCAAGGUUUCUUUCUUUUUUUUUUUUUGAUAGAUAAAAAGGAAGUAUAUUAAACGAAAAGAGGAAGCACCAAAAACAGUGCCCUCCAAGUAUACAGGGAGUAUACAAACAAGCCCAAAGACACACCCCUAAGGGGAAAGGAAAGCAACACACCAACUUCCCUUACUUAGAGCCUAACUAGUCUAAAAAACUUACAAGAGAAGAAGGGCUCAAAACUAAAGAAAUCUUGACCCAAGACCAAAGAUUACAUACAAAAGAAUAAACAUGUCUGGAACGUACAAAUUGAACUUCAAGGUUUCUUGCUCAAUCUCAGUGGUAGAUUAUUUAUUAACAUGUCUGGAACAUUUCACCAUUAAUAAACACAACUGCCCUGUAGACACCUGCAACCAUGCCUGUCUUGCACAGAUCCUAAACACACAAUUUUGAAACUCUGGCAUGCUACAAAUGUGGCCUAAAGAUUUUGUAACAAAGGAAUAUCAAAAUUCCUGCAGGGAAAAUAAAUACAUUACCAUAUCAAAAGCCACAUAUUUCUUUCCUAUAGAGAAUCCAUCUAAAAUCUCACUACAUAACAACAGAGUUCCAAAAAGGUUUCCCAAUGAAUAACAAGAAAAAAAGCACAUUUUUUAUAUACCCACUCUUCUCCUAUGUCCUGAUAGCAUAUACCAACUACUCAAUUCCAUAAUUCCUUACAACUAUGGGACUUUUUUUUUACUUCUGCUUUCAUGGAUAAACAUAAAGUCAUAUAGAAGGCACCAAACAAAAGGGGAAGCACCAUUUCUAUAUGGUGGUAUAUAAAAGGGACCAAAGAAAGAAGAAAAUACAUACCCCUCCAACAAACAGCAAAACUAUGUCCAUCUAUCCACAAUUUAGACUACAAAUGAAGUCUAGCAACAUAUAAUAGUCAACCCUAGCAAGGACCUCGAUUACUUUAAAAGGAACUUGAUGAAAUUGGCUUUUGAUCUGAAUGCUCUUUUUCACUAUAAGUUUGAUCAUUAUACUCUCUCCAAAUGCACCAAAAUAGGCAAAGGGGUGCCACCUCACUAAGCCUUCCUCAUCCACUUUAUCCAAGCCUUGAAUCUUNNNNNNNNNNNNNNNNNNNNNNNNNNNNNNNNNNNNNNNNNNNNNNNNNNNNNNNNNNNNNNNNNNNNNNNNNNNNNNNNNNNNNNNNNNNNNNNNNNNNGGUGCCACUCACUAAGCCUUCCUCAUCCACUUAUCCAAGCCUUGAAUCUUUCAGCACAACAGAAGCUCCCUAAUUGACUCUAGAAAAAACCAACUGCAUCCCAAGAAUAUUCAGCAACAAAUCCUACAGCUGUCAUGUCCAAUUGCAAUGGAUCAGAAUGUGCUUUCUGGUUCCUUGAUAGCUUUACAACUACAAAUCUGGCAUUCUGAUGUAUAUGAUUGCAUUAUCUCAACAAGUGGUCAACUUGUCCAUUUCAUUAACAUCCAGUUACGAUCAUUUCCGAUGCCAUAAAGAGUAUGGUUCUAUAGUUGUCUUAUAAAAUCCUCUUUAGUUGGGAAACUAAAAAUUAACUCAAACAUUAGUUAGAAGCAUUGUCCAUUUGUUCAUCCCACUCCAUUGUUAUGGGCAACAUGGUUUCAUCUCAAGGGUUUGGAAGGGAGGCCAUCUUUAUUUCUCUAUAGCAAAUCAAACCAAGAAAAAUUACAAUGAUAAUACUAAUGUGUUGCUUAGCCCUAUCCCUUCCUUUGUACUCCUAAUAUUACCAAAUAAUAAUAAUAGUAAUUUUUUGUAACCUAUUAGUGCCAAGUAUAGGCAAAUGUCUAGGUGUCUAAUCCUUCACACCUACAAAUUUUAGGAUAUGGAGACUUAGCUAAGAUGUAUCUCAAUGAUGGAUGUAAACACUUGGCUACAACAUAAUAAUGGGAAAACAAAAUCAACUAGAAAUCAAUAAAAAAAAUAAAGACAUCUUUGAUAAAAACUCUCCUUUUCUCUUUUAUCCUUGCUAAGGAAGUUGAAAUGGAAAUAUAAAUCGAUCAAAACCAAAUAGUCACAUCUGAAGCAAAGUAGGAGUAUCCAACAAGGCUCUCACACUCACAUUGUGUUGACACAAUUACACAAGGUGCAAUUGGAGAGUCCGGGUAUCAUAGCAUGCUUCUCAAAACUACAUCACAAAAUUUCCUUGACAAUGUCAGUUGAUCUAAUCAACAUUUCCUUAUUCCCUAAACCUAUAGGAUGGUAGUGGUAAAUUAUGGCACAGUGAUUCAGUUCCCCCGACAUAUUUUCUCCUUCACUACAAAAGAAUGUUAUAAAGAGCACAAUCAUAUUCCCCUCCAUCUUCCAUAUCAAAACAAUCCAGUAUUGUAGGCUCAGGUUUGUUGCAGAGGGGAAACUUCUUUGUUUUGUAAUGAACAAGCCACAAAAAGGCACAUGUUCAUUUUCUCAAAUAAUUAAUAAGUUUCUCAAGUGAACAAUUUCAACAUGGUUCACUUUAACCCUGUCGCACAUUGGAUGAAACCAGACAUCCCUUUUUCAAAUCAAGAAAAAGGCUUCAACCUAUACACUUUGUCAUGCUUAGGCAUUAACCCAAAAAAAAAAAUAGGAAAGAAAAAAAAAAUUGCACCUUCAACUUGUCAUUUUAAUCAAACAGGCUUGUCAAAUUCUAGAUUAUUUUUAAAUGAAAACACAUCAACAGAUAGCCUUCAAACUUGAUUACUUAUACACAACAUCAAACUUUGUAAAGCUAAAUAAUUUAAGAAUCCAAUUGAGUGACAUCACAUAAACACAAAAAUAAAUUAAAUAAUUGAAUAUUCAUACAAUCUAUUCCACUUUCAACUUCCACUAAAGCCUCUAUACUAAUUCUUGAUUCUUCCAAUGUCUAUACAAUCCAUCAUUAUAAGAAUGCAUAUACAACCUGGUUUUCCAAAUCAACAUCAUACCUCGAAAUCAACCAUAAGCCAAAAACAGCGACCACUCCAACCUAAGCAAAUUUAUCAUCAAUUCUUACAAGAAUGACGAUUCCUAAUAAAUGAGAAUGAAACAUUUACACAGGAAACAGGUUAAAGGUCACAAGAUCUUAUCGAGACUAAAAGCACUAACACACCUUCUUUCAAAUUCAGCUAAAAGUUAAAUCAUAACUCCUGCCAUUACAGUUUAUUGAAAUUAAAUGCACAGUCUACGCAAAAAAUAGUCGAUCCCAAUGCGAUCCAAAACUACCGUCAUAAUUGUCCGUCAAACCCUAAACUAUUGGUCUAGGCAUCUUCAAAACAAUAUUUAGAAAAGAAAAAAAAAAAUAACACGGAGAUAGAUCGUUAGAGAUUCAAUCCCUACCACUCCCGUAUCGCUGUAUGUGGAGACGGUGAAUUUCUGAUCGGAGAUGUAAUCCCUCGUGAGAAGAUCUACAAUCAAAUUAAGAAACUAGGGUUUCACAAUCAAAUCAAAUAUGAGCACCAGAUAUUUCAGAACAUGUGCGAGUAGAAUGACUACCUUUGGCUUUCUUCCCUAUAUCGGCGAAGAGUCCUGGUCCCUUGCUCAUGUUUGCAGAAAGGAAGGGGAGUAUCCGAAUGCCGCAAUGGGAAGAUUGGAGGUAGGAGGUGGGAAGAGGAGAGAGAUGCGAAGAAUUUUCGUAUUUCUUUUUUUCGUGGUCACCACCAAAAUUGCGAAAGCCGAGUGUAAAAGUUGGCUGUGAGCGGUUGUGGUGACAGCCGAAAUGUCGACCGUGGAUUUAAAUGGAGGGGCUGCAUCGUGUGGCGGUAAACUAUACCUACAGAAAAUCGAAAAAUCGGCGAUCAAAUUGAGCGUGGGACGACGCGCGUGGUGCGGCGACAAAAAAUGGGCAAUUUUUUUUAAAAAAAAAUCGCCACUUUUUUUUAGGACUUUUCAAAAAACGCCAUUUUUUUUAUAUAUAUAUCCUGUUUUUUUAAAAUAAAAUAAAAUAAAAGUUAUCUUUUAUUUUAAAUUUAUAUUAUCAUUUUAUUUUAUAUUAUCCUUUUAUUUUUAACUAUUUUUCACAUUUAUCUCCUUAAUCUCAUUUCAAAAAAUUACUAUCACUCUACUCUUAACUUUUUUAUAUUUAUCUUUUUAAUUUUAUUUAAUUUUAAAUGUUUUAUUUUAAAUAUUAAAAAUAUAAUUUUACUCAAAUUUUUCUAAAAUAUAAAAAAUAACUAAUGAAGUUCUAAAAUUUUAUAAAUUAAAAUUAAUUUGAUAAGAUAAAUUAUUAAUAAUUUUAAUUAUUUAAAUAAAGUAACGUUAAUAGAAAAGUUGUCACUACAUAUUUGUUAAUGAAAUUUUAGAAAUUAAAUCGUAAAUAAAAUAUUUUAUAUAAAUUAAUUUAGGUUUUUAUUUAAAAUGUAAUAAAACGUGUUUUAAUAAAAAUAUUUUUUUAAUUUUAAAAAUAAAUGAAUGUAAAUACAUUAAAGGAAAUUAAGCUUUUUUUUUUAUAAAUAUUUGAUAAAUAUUAUCUUUAAUCAUACUCAUGUCAAUUACAUUUAUAAAAUAAUUGUUAUUUUUCUUAUCAUUUUUUUUUUAAGUCUUUUAAGUAUUUUCAUUAAUUUUUAGUCAUUUCAUUUCUGUUUUGAUUGAUGUUUUUAUCACAAUAUUUACCAAUAUUUUUUUUAUAUAUUUACAAUAUAUCCACUAAAAUUCAAAUAUCAAUAUAUCCAAUUUACCGAUAUUUCAUACCUUGGUUAAGAUCAAUUCAUUGAUUGAUCAAAUCAUUACAUUUAGUAAGGGAUUGUUAGUGAGAUAAUCAAUUUGGUAUCUUAGUGAGUUAAGGUUCUCUUUAACCAAUUACAAGAUUAAUAUACACUACCAAUCAAUCCUUCAUUUUCUUGCUCAACGAUCAAGUGAUCAACUAACCUACUCUUGGUUUUGAAUUUUUGAAAACUAUUUAAUCUUUAACACAUACUUGAAAAAGCUAGUUUUCCUCAAUUUGUUGAGGUCAUAUGCUUCAUCCAAUUUAAGAUUUGAAUGCAUUUUAAAAUAAACUGGAUGAAUUUUUAUUUUUUUUCUAAACAAAAUUAUAAGACUAAAUAAUUUAAAAAAAAAAAAUCCUAUUUCAAAGCACUUCCACCUUCCAUUGCAAAAAAAUCUUAAAAACAUGAACUUUGAUUCAAAGCUUUCUUGGAGCAUGUUGCUUAUAAAGCAUUGAGUCUUACGCCAACAAAAGCUUUUAACACAAACAUAUUAAUUCAACAACAUAAAAAUAAAAUAAUCAAUACAUAUGUAUAUGAGGUUUUAACAUUAUUCAGUCAACCAUAUCUACAUCUAUAAAUGAGAGAUAAUUUUUUCAUUAUAUCAUAAAGAACAUUACAAAUGACAAAAUCAUAUAUAAUUAUUGGGUUAUCGAACCAUCUUAUAUUUUCUCACUUUUUAUAUCCACAUCCUAAACCACGAACUCUUUUGCUCUAUUAAGUAUCUUUUAUUCUUCGUCACAUCUCUUUCAAUCUUCUAUAAUCUCUAAAAAUUCAUAUUUAUCUCAUGACUUCAAAUAUUUAUAAUAACGUUAUUUAUUUUAUAAAAAAAUAUAAUAUUACAAUAAUAUGUCAACCUAUAAAAUAUUUUAUACAAUAUUCUUUACAAAAAAAAUUAUUAAUUAGAAAUUUAAUACACUUCCCAAAAUUUUAGCUAAUUGAGUUCAAUUAUCCAUUCAAGGCAGGCUCCCGUCUUUCCAUUAGCCAAACCAUUGUUGCCCUGAGUAGGUCUUUUUGUGGGUCCCUUCAAUUGAACAUUUGCAAAGUAACAAACUAGAAUGGUCCUCUGAAAGCCACAAGAUCUUUGACGCUUAAGGGUUGUUAGUAACAAAUGAAAUCAUAAAAGGAAAUUUUUUGUGACUUACCUGGGUUGUGAGGUGCUGUCUCUAUAAGGAUCUCCUGCUGAUAGUUGCCUUGGGUUGUGUGGAGUUGUUUUAAAAAAUAAUUAUAUAAAUAUAAAGAAUAAUUAAAUAUAAAAAUUAAUUUUUAAAUAUAAAAAAUAAAUUAAAAAUAUUUUACCUUUCAAAGCAAACAUUCAUUUUAUAAAAUAUUAUAAAAUUAUUUUCAAAAAUUAUUUUUCAAAACUAUUUAAAAAAGUAGCUACCAAAUCAGGGAUAAUUUUCUAUUAUUAAAAAUAAAAAAUUCAAUAUUUCAAAGGAUAUUUUUAGUCAUUUUCAAUUAUUUUUCCUUCAUAUUUGGAUUGUAACUUAAUCUCAAAUGAAAAGUUUAUAAAAAAAUAUUUAUACUUUCAUUAAAAUUAAUAUUUACAAAUUUUUUAAAAAUCAUAUUUAAAUAAUCAAAUAUUUUUAAUUAAAAUUAAUAUUUACAGAAAUUUAAAAUACCAGAUUUAGGUAGUUUUCAAUUAAUAUUUUUCAUGAAAAUUUAUAAUUUUUUUAAUUAUCAAAUUCAUCAUUUUAUUUAUUUGUAUAGUUAUACAAUUACCAAAAAUCUUGUUUUUUUUUUAUUUAGCCGAAAGGCAAUUUAUCUUUCUUUUAUUUAUGGGCUAUCUAUUACGUGACAUUAUUUUAUUUGUGAAAAAUUAGACCAUGUCAUGGCUUAUAACUGACUAAUUUAUGAUCGAAAAGUGUAUUAAAGCUUUGGGGUUAUAACCCUGAGUGUAGUUUAGACUUUGGUUUGAUGUGACUUGAGUAUUAACUUGAAUUGGGCCAACCUGACAUAAGUUCUGACUUGACUUAUCCCUCAACUUGGGUAGAGCCUUGGUUUAAUUGGGCCUUGCCUAACUUGGGCUUCUGGGUGAAUUAGUUUUAACUUUAGUUGGGCCUUAGUGUGACUAGGCUUUGGGUAACUUGGGCCUGACAUGGCUUAUGAUUUGAUCAAUACCUUAAUUUGAGUUGGGCCUUUGUAUGACUUUAGACUUAGGACAACUUGGUUUCUUGCUUGACUUAGGGUCUUAAUAUGACCUAAACCUUGAGGUGAUUUCAGUUUUGAAUUGAAUUUGGUUUUGACGUUACUUAGACCCUUAAAUAAUGUUGAUUUAGGGCUUGAGUAGCUUGAUAAUGAAUAUGAGAAGUUUUUUUUUUUUUUUUUAACAAAUUUGGAUAUCAAGCUUGAAACUUUGAAAAUUCUUAAUAAUACAAAUACAUUUUUUAAAAUUGAAGGUUAUGUUUGGUUCUUAAAAAAUUUAAGGGAAAAUGUAAGGGAAAGAAAAUAAAGAAAAAGUAUAACUAAAAAAGUGAAGUAAAAUAAAAAAUAAAUUUAAAGUUCGAUAAAUCAUUUUUAUAUGUUACUUCAAACUCAUUUAAUUUUUUUUCUUUUUUCACAUAAAGACAAAAUAAUUUAAAAAUACAUAAAUUUCUAAUUAAUUUUAAUUAUAUACGUUUUUUUUAAUAUUUUUUAUAAUACAACCAAACAUGAAAAAAUUAUUUUUCAUAAUAUUUUUUUUUCUUUCCUUUAUACUUUCCCAUAACCAAAUACAACCACAUACUUAAAGCAUCAAAUAUUCAAAGAUGCUUCGAAAUCUUCUUUAAAAAAGGUAGUCAUUUUUUUUUCCCUUAAAGUUCUAAAGAUGCUUUGAAAUCUUCUUUAAAAAAGGUCUUAAAUCUUUUUUAAAGUAAGUUUUAUAAAUUUUUAAAUGAACUUCUAAGAGUUGGACAAAGUUUGAAAGAGCUAUAAACAUGUACCUUUUGCCUUUUUGAAUUAUUUUGAAAAUUUAGGAGCCUCGGAGGAUCAUAUAUAAUUUUCUCUAUUCUCUUAAAAUUUUAUUUUUUAAUUAAAAUAAAUAUUUAAAAAAUUUUGGCAAUCGAAUUUAAAUAAUUUUCAUCUUAUCCUUUAGAUGAACUCUUAUAUUUAUUUUCCAACCAUCAAAUUCACUUUUUUUUUUUUUAAUAAUUUUAGUUUAAUGAUCAAAAUCCAUAUUUCUUUAUUCAAUAGAAGAUACAUGUCUUUUUCUUUUAUGUGCUUUCAAAUAACAUACAUUAUUUUAUUUGUAACAAAUUUAAGUUAUACGAUAGAUUUAAUUUCUCGUAAGUUUAAAUUAAUUAUGAAGAUUCUAUCAUUUUCUCUUUAGUCCAUAAAUUAAAUUAAUUUAUAUAUUUGUGAAAAUGUCAAAAUAAAAUAAUUCCUUUUAGUUUCUUUAAUUUGAUCUCAAAUUUGUUAAGUGAUUACAAAAAGUUCAAUGAAAAUUUGAAUUUCUUAAAAAAUUAUUCAUAGAAAUACGUUGAGCCCCAAUAGUUGACUGGGCAUUUAAGGGUAAAACAUUGUUUUCAGUGCAAGGUGUGAGAGUGGUAUCAAAUCAAAACAAAUUUUAAAUACUAAAUCUAGCCUCAAAAGGUUAAUGUUGUCUGGUGAGAUAAUAGGGAUAAGCUUCACUAUCAAGUGGGAAAUAGCCGAGUUACCCAUUAAGACCCUUAAAUGACACCGUUUAAUGAUGAAGGAGAUUGUGGUGCAAAGAUAACCAAAAGAUUUACCUAAAAGUUGUCAAUGAAUUGAACCAUCCAAUAAUUCAAAAAGUCAUGUUAAUUAUUUAUUUUAUAUAUGUUUUAAUAGCUCAUCCGAUACUUAAAAAGUUAGUUGUUUUUUAUGCUUUCAUAAUUGAUCAAUUUUUUUUUAUGAUUGAACCGAAAGCAUAACGCUAAACAUUUUUUUUCCUUCUACUUUUGGUUUCCUUUAUUUCUUUUUCUUUUCUCGCUUUUUCUUUAUGUUAAAGUCCAAUGAAACUUAGCCAAGGUGGGGACGUGUCUUAAUAAUGCUAUAUUAAUAAUCAUAUAAUAUGGUAGAUUUAUAUUAAUUUAAUUCGAAUUUUCUUCCACGUUGUUAUUUCAUAGUAUCGUUUUUCAUGCAUUACACUGAAUCAAACAUCAUCUUGUCAACUACUGCAUGCUUCGAUAUUGCCUUGAAUUGACGCAUGGUGGUGGAUCACACGUGGGCGGGAGGAGCUUUUAGUAGUCCACGACACGUCUCUCCUUCCUCGGGAAUGGAAAAGCCGGAUAAUGCUAUUUUUGGUUUUCAAAAUAUCGGGGGAAAAUAUGAAUCAGAAUAGAAAAAAUAAUUUAUUUUAUAAGUUGUUUUAAAUUCAUUUUUUAUAUUUAUAUAAUUAUUUUUAAAAUAUUUUCAAAAAAUAAAAAUAAAAAUAGGAAAAAAUAAUUAAAAUAUAUUUUCAAAAAAUUCCAUGUUUUCUUUGCAAAUUCUUAUAAAACACUUUUCUAUCAAACAAAUCAUUCAACCUGUUUUCGAAUUUAAACCAGAAAACUAUUUAUGUGUUCAUGAUGAUUCCAUGGAAUGUUAAAUUUUAUAGACCGUGCUUGGAGUUUGAACCACACAAUUAUCAUGAUUCCAAAUUUGAAAUGACAGCCACCACCGCUGAUUUUAUGGCUCCGCAUGCUGGCUAAAACACCAUGCUCUUGAUCUCAUUUUUAUUAAAAGAUAAAAAGAAAAGAAAUAAUAAAAUAAAAAGUGAAAAAAAUAAAAAAUAAAUUUAAAAUCAAUAAAUCAUUUUUUAUAUGUUAAUUUAAACUCAUUUAACUUAUUUUAAGAUUAAAUAAUUAAAAAAUACUUAAAUUUCUAAUUAAUUGUAAUUAUAUUUGAUUUUUUAAUAUUUUUCAUACUACAUCCAAAUAUAAAGAAAUCAUUUUUCUUUUCUUAUAUUUGAUUCUUGAAAAUUUUGAGGGAAAAUGAAAAGGAAAUAAAAUAUAGAGAGAAAAAUAAGAAAAAAAAUAUAAAGGAAAAUAAAAAAUAAAUUUAAACUUAAUAAAUUAAUUUUGUAUGAUUUUUCAAAUUCAUUUUAGUUAUUUUCAUUAAUUAUAUAAAUAUUAAAUAAUUUUAAAAUACAUAAAAUUUUAACUAAUUUUAAUUAUAUUUGAUUUUUUUUGUCUUUUUCACAGUAAAAUGAAAUCUAAGAAAAUAAUUUUUCUUAAUAUUUUUUUUUCUUUUUAGUACUUUUUUAUAAGAAAAUGUAGCAUUUGGUUAUGUUUAUUUAUUUUUACUCGCUUUUCCUUUCCUUCAAAUUUUUUUCUUUUUUUCUUUAUGGGAAUAAAAAAAGCCUUAAACUAAGUUUGAUUAUCGGAAAGUUGGAAAAAAAUGUGAAGGAAAGAAAAAAAAAAGAUUUAAAUUUAAUAAAUUAUUUUUAUAGGUAUAUUUUUAUCUAUUAAAACAAGAUUAAGUAAUUUAACAACAUAUAAAUUUCAAAUUAACUUUAAUUAAAUGUGAUUUUUUUAUAUAAAACUAAAUCUUUAAAUUGAUAAAUGGUAGUUUUUUUUCAUUCAUUCUUUCAUUCGUUCAUGUACAGAGUAUGUAUAGAGGGUAAUCACCAUUCUAAGAAUGGGAAAGAAUGAUACAAGGAAAUAACAACUAAUAUCCUAAUAUCUCAAUAUUCCUAAUAUCUCAAUAUUCUUAAUAUCUCAAUUUUCCUAAUAUCUAAACAUUCAUAAUAUCUCAACACUAAAUAAUAUAAGGAAAGAAUGAUAUAAGGAAAACAUUCCUAAUAUCUCAACACUCCCCCUCAAGUUGGUGCAUAGAUGUCACACAUGCCCAACUUGUCUAAAAAUUUUGAGAACACUUGACUUGAGACAACUUUGAUGAGGAUAUCGGCCAAUUGAUCUUCUGAUGGAAUCUUAGGCAAUUCCACAAUCUUAUCAUCCAACUUUUCCUUAAUGAAGAAUCUAUCCACCUCGACAUGCUUUGUAUGAUCAUGUUGUACUGGAUUAUGAGCAAUGUCACAUGCAGCUUUAUUGUCACAAAACAAUCGGAUUGGUUGCCUAGAUAGGUAACCUAAAUCCUGUAAGAGGAGUCUUAGCCAUAAUGUCUCACAAAGUCAUAGAGUCAUACCUCUAAAUUCCGCUUCUGCACUUGAACGAGCGACGACAUUCUGCUUCUUACUUUUCCAUGUCGCAAGAUUACCACCUACAAAGGUAAAGUAACCAGAUGUAGAUCGUCUAUCAUUCACUGCACCGACCCAAUCAGCAUCAGUAUAUACUUCUAUACUCUGAUGAUUAACAUUUUUAGCGAACAAAAUUCCCUUCCCAGGAGCAUUCUUCAAAUACCUCAAAAUACGCAUGACUGCAUUCAUAUGUUGCUCUCCAGGAUUAUGCAUGUAUUGACUCACUACACUCAAUGCAUAAGCAAGAUCUGAUCUUGUAUGAGCUAAGUACAUUAAUCUUCCUACAAGUCUCCGGUAUCUUCCCUUAUCGAUUGAUACUUGAUUAGGUUCAACACACAAUUUCAGACCUUCUUCUAUUGGUGUAUUAACAGGUUGACAUCCUGACAUUCCAGUCUCCUGUAAAAGAUCUAAGGCAUACUUUCCUUAAGACAGAAAAAUUCCUUCACUUGAUCGAGAAACUUCAAUCCCAAAAAAGUAUUUCAGAGGACCUAGAUCUUUCAUUUCGAAUUCUCUAGAUAGAUAAUUUUGCAGAGUUUUUAUUUCUUCAGGAUCAUUUCCUGUAACUACCAUGUCAUCCACAUAUACGAUGAGUGCCGUAAUCUUACCAUGUUGUUUUUUCUGGAACAAAGUGUGAUCUGAAUUACUUUGACGAUAGCCAAAAGCUCUCAUUGACUUUGUGAACCUUCCAAACCAUGCUCUCGGGGAUUGCUUUAACCCAUACAAUGACUUCUUCAAUUUGCACACCUUCUGACAUUGCUUUUCUGACACCAUGCAUCCUGGUGGAAGAUCCAUAUAUAAUUCUUCAAAUAACUCGCCAUGCAGAAAGCCAUUUUUCACAUCGACCUGUUGUAAUGGCCAAUCUAGGUUUGCAGCUAAAGACAGUAAUACUCGAACUGUGUUGAUCUUAGCUACAGGUGCAAAUGUCUCUGUGUAGUCAAUUCCAUAAGUUUGAGUGUACCCUUUUGCUACCAGUCUUGCUUUAAAUCGUUCAAUACUACCAUCUGUCUUGUACUUCACAGUAUAGAUCCAACGACACCCAACUGGCUUCUUUCCUGGUGGACAUUCUACGAGUUCCCAUGUUUCAUUCUUCUGCAAUGAUUUCAUCUCUUCAUUCAUAGCUGCUUUCCACCUUGGAUAAGCUAAGGCUUCCUGCACACUGUUAGGAAUAGCUACAGUAGAUAAUUGAUUUACAAAUGACUUAUUUGAUUCAGACAAACGAUGGUUAGACACAUAGUUGCUCAUGGGAUAUUUGACUUUGGUAGACAAUUCAGGUUCAUACGUGGGUUUAGGAAUACAUCUAUUAUGACGGUGUGGUAACCGUUUCAUGGAUGGGUCAGGUUCCAAAUUAAGAACACCCUCAACAGAUGACGAUUGGUUUGGUAUUUCAGUGAAGACAUCUUCGGACCCAAAUUGUUGACCACUCAUAUCCAACUCACCCGCUUCCUGAUUCACUAGUUCAGACUGUCCAGAUUCAUUCUCCUCAGAGAUAUGAUAAUCAUAAUCGAGAGUCUGAAUUUCCUUAUGGUACUCCCCCUGAAGUUCAGACUCAGAUGAAAAAUACAUCGAAUCUUCAUGAAACACCACAUCCAUUGUAAUAUACAUUUGUCGAGUUGGAGGAUGGUAACAUCGAUAUCCCUUUUUGUGCAAUGCAUAUCCAACAAACACACAUUGCAAUGCAUGAGAAGUUAACUUGGUGCGUUGGUGUUUGUGUAGAUGCACAAAUGCCACAUAACAAAAAACACGAGGAGGUAGAUUUGGGACAGUUGGGGCAACUACGACAUUAGUAAGAGUUUGGAGAGGUGUUUGGAAGUUAAUUGAGCUGGAAGGUACCCGAUUGAUCAAGUAUGCGGCAUAUGUGAUUGCUUCUCCCCAAUAAGAUAUCGGUGUUUUUGCUGCUAUCAAGGAAGCACGAACAACCUCUAACAAGUGCCGAUUUUUUUGUUCAGCGACUCCAUUUUGCUGGGGUGUAUUGGAACAAGUAGUCUGAUGAAUGAUGUCAUGUCCUUCCAAAUACUUUUGAAGAUCAGAACUUUGAUAUUCUCCACCAUUAUCACUACGCAGAACCCGAACCUUUGCAUUGUACUGAGUUUCAAUCAUUUUAUGAAAAUUUUGAAACAAUAAGUUCACUUCAUCUUUGGUCUUCAUCAAACAUAACUAUGUCAUUCUAGUACAAUCAUUAAUAAAAGUAACAAACCAACGUGAGCCACUCAAAGUUGGGACUUUGAAUGGGCCCCAAACAUCAGAAUGUAUAACCAUAAAAGGAAACGAACUUUUGUUUAAAAUUAACGGAAACGAAACACGAUGGCUUUUAGCCAAUUCACAAAUAUCACAAUGGAAACCAGAAAUAUCACUUUUUGCAAACAAACUAGGAACCAAUUUUUUUAAAUAACCAAAGGAAGCAUGUCCCAUACGUCGAUGCCACAACCAAAUUUCAGAUUUUUUCUUCUCCCCCUCAUAUCCAUCUGCUAUCAAGGCUUGUUGCAACUUAUUUGAAUCCUUUAACUACAAGUCUAAGUAAUAGAGUUUUCCCUGCUUAAUACCACAACCAAUCGUCUGUCUUGUUUGGAUGUCCUUAAUCACACAAAAUUCAGGCCAAAAAAUGACAAUACAAGAUAAGGCUGCAGUGAUUUGAGAAACUGACAAAAGAUUGUAAUCUAAAGAUGGAACAACUAAAACAGAAUCCAAAUUCAAAGUAUCAGUAAGAGUUAAGGAUUCUUCCCCAAUGACUAGGGUUGUGUUACCAUUGGCUGUGGAAACAAUUUUUUGUGAGGAAGGUCUAAGGAAUGAAACCUGUCUAGAAUCAAAAGUCGUAUGAUCUGUAGCACCAGAAUCAAUUAUCCAUGCACUAUUAAUAACAGGUGUAAAAGUAUUUAAAAACUUACCACCAUGAUCUGUAGCGGCUACCAAUACUGAGACUUUCUCAGCAACAUUAGCCUCUGUUUUUAUUUCGGCAACAGUUGCAUUCGAGGUUUUCUUGGAAUCCUUCUUCCGUUGAUCACGAUUAUUAUCAUUAAUAACAAAGUGUUGAUAGCCUAAACAUGAUCUAAAGGUCCAUAGUUCAAACCCUCGGUUCCUCAUUGUUUUCAUGGUUAUACCAAGAGUCGUUGCUUUGAAAUUGUGGGAUAUCCAGACUGGUGGGAUCAGUCUUAUUGCAGUGAGAGCAUUUGAAGGUUGACUUAUCAAUAUUAGGGCUUGUCUUAGGAUGGAUGAUCGCUGUUGGACUACCAUAACGACAAAAUAUCCAGGAUUUCAGUUUCAUGGCUCUGAUACCAUCUUCAAAUUGAUAAAUGAUAGUUUUUUUUCAUUCAUUCUUUCAUUCGUUUAUAUACAGAGUAUAUAUAAAAGGUAAUCACCAUUCUAGGAAUGAAAAAGAAUGAUACAAAGAAAUAAUGAUAUAAGGAAAUAACAACUAAUAUCCUAAUAUCUCAACUUUACUAAUAUCUCAAUAUUCUUAAUAUCUCAACUUUCCUAAUAUUUAAACAUUCCUAAUAUCUCAACACUAAAUAUAAGAAAACCAUUUGUUUUUAUAAAUAUUUUUUUUCCCUAGGCUUUAGGUCAUGUUUGGUUUUUUUGAAAGUAUUAAAAAAAUUGCUAAAAAAAAUGAUUUUCUCAUUAUUUCAAGAAAAAUAUAAAAAAAUAAAAUUAAAUAAAAACGGAUGUAUUUUUAAAUUAUUUAAUAAUUUUAUUGAUAGAUUAAAAUAAAUUAAAUGAAUUUAAAAUUAAAAAAAAAACAAGAUUUAUUGACUUUGAUUUUUUUUUUCUUCUACUCUUUAUUCUCUUUCUUUACGUUUUCUCACAAAUUUUCCUCCCUAUUCUCUUUCCUUACAUUUUCUUUUAAAUUUUCCAUAAAUUUCCUCUUUAUUCUCGAUUCUUGCACCUUCUCUUAAGUUUUCAAGACACUUUCCUGGAAACCAAUCAUGACGAGCAUUUUCCUGGAACCAACCAUGACCAAAGUAAACUGGGGGAGAGUUUCCUCGAAAGAUUCCGUCGACAGGGAACGCCAACUCAUUAAGACUUUCCUUAUAGGAGACGGUGGGGAAAGACAGACCAUUUUUAUAGUUUGGACGCCAACGUGAAAUGGAAGCCAAAUUGAGUUGCAGGUUCGGGUACUCUGACGAGUCUGAUCUUAGACUAGACCAACAUCAUUCAAACCUCGUCAUUUGUUAACGCGGAUUCCUUCAAUAAGUUUUAGCAGCCCCUUAUAAAAUAUGUUUGGUCUCUAAAAGGAGCCGGUUUGCUUUUGUCCGAUCAAAUUUCAAAAUGUUUUUAGUGUUUUUGAAAUUAGAAAGAACGAGAAUACUUUCUGAAUUAUUGUCAAAUACAUUCUGAAAUUAAUGUUGUAACACUAACAAGUGAUGGGAAACCCAUCAUGGAUCAUAAUCACAAGGACAAGAAAGCAUUAACCUGAGGUCAACUUUUGGUAUGGCACACCAUCUACCCAUAUGGUUUCAUUNNNNNNNNNNNNNNNNNNNNNNNNNNNNNNNNNNNNNNNNNNNNNNNNNNNNNNNNNNNNNNNNNNNNNNNNNNNNNNNNNNNNNNNNNNNNNNNNNNNNUUUUGGUAUGGCACACAUCUACCCAUUAUGGUUCAUUCAACGCAAGCAACGAUCUAUAAUACUCACACUAAACAUUAAAAAAUAAAAUAAAAUUAAGGUGAAAAUUAUUUUUUAUUUUUAUAGAAUAAAAAAUAAAUUUUAUGUGGUGUUUUAUUUUUAAUUAUUUUAUGUAUUUAUAUAAUUAUUUUUUAAAAUAAUUUUUAGAAAAUAAGUAAAAAUAAUAAAAAGAUAUUAUUUAAAAAUAUUUAUUUUUUAUUUUUAAAAAUAAAAAAACAAAAAACAUGUUUAAUAAUUAUUAAACAUGUUUUUUAUGUUUUUAUUUCUGAAAAAUAAAAACUAUUUUUUUAAACAAUUACUUUCCCUAAAUUACUAAUAAUAAUUUAGUUAAAAUAUAAAAGUAUAUUUUUGUAUAAAGACAUCGCUGAAUAAAUAAAUGUAGGUCUUACAAGCGCGUAACCGCGUGGGGCCACCACUGAGCAAAUUUGAAAUACCAACUAGUCAAGAAGCGUUAUGCCGGAAUUGACUCGGGCAAUUGGUUCCAUUUGCCAAAGAACUAGAAGAGCGGAUCUUCUUCUUCGUCUUCCUCAUAAUUUCGUCUGUUUCGGAUCUGAGCGGUAAAUUUGUUGUAUUCGUAUAUUACAAUAAGAUCGAGCGGGCAACGCGGUGGGGGUUUCUGCUUUUUGCUGUGGUAGUUUCUGGGAAUGUAAAGCACACUUAGGAGGUGGGAGGCUUUAGAGAAUUUUCUUGGUGGUUUCGUUUGGGAGGCGGGGGAAGGGUAUAUGAAUGAGGGAGGAGUGUGGUUGUGCAGGUAGAGAAACAAGUUACAAAAGCGAUUACAAGAGCUAGUGAUGGAAAGCUAUUUGGACGAGAACUUCUCAGGAGUGAAGCCAAAGCAUUCGUCGGAUGAGGUGUUGCAGAGAUGGAGGAAUCUUUGCAGUGUUGUCAAGAACCCCAAGCGAAGGUUCCGCUUCACUGCCAACCUCUCCAAGCGUGGCGAGGCGGCUGCUAUGCGCCGCACCAAUCAGGUCUCCUCUCUAAUUCAUUACAUUUGCCUUUUAUUUGUAAAUAAGCUCUCCUAUUGGAAACCUAAAUAUUGGACUUGAUCUGGAACUUGAAUAUGGGCAUUUAUUUUUUGGGAGGCUAUGGGUUUUAAAUCUCGUUCCUUUCUCAAACCCUUUGUAACAUCCGCUCCCAGUUUCUAACAUCCUCCUAAUCGUUUAGAUAUUGUGGGCCGCGUGAGAGUCUUAAAACGCGUUCCCAAACCGUUUAGAUAUUGUCGUUAGCGUGAGAGCCUUAAAACGCGUCUACAAGCAAUUUUUUCACCCAAUCCCACAACCUUCUCCACUCCAUUUUUUUUUUUUUUUUUAAUAAUAAUUGUGAAGUAGAAGGAUGCAAAGGUUCAGCUGAACGGAAACGGAAAUAGCGAGGAUUAGGUUUCAUUGAGUUGAGAUGAAGAUUCAAGAUUAUCUUGGGCACUAGGAAGUUACCAAAAUAUUUUGAUAAACGUGGUCAAGUUUAUCAUGCCUCUUUCAAGAUCAUCUUAAACACUUAAAAACUACCAAAAUCUUUUGAGUAUUCAAGAUUGAUGGAUGUGCUCAAGAAUUAAAAACUACCAAAGCUUUGAUUUCUCUCAUUUGACUUCAGUUCUUACUUUCUCCCGACAUUCCUGGAUUUAUUGCUCAGUACUUUUAUUUGCCCAAGUUGUUUUUCCAAUGAACUUUUUAAUUCUCAACUUCAGCGAAGAAGGCUUUGCCAACACAUAAUAUCUCUUUUAACAUAACUAUGAGAAUUUGUCCUCUGUAUUGUUUAGUGACUAACUCUUUUCUGUAUUCAUAUGUAGGAGAAAUUGAGAAUUGCGGUAUUGGUUUCCAAAGCAGCAUUUCAAUUUAUCCAAGGUGAGCUUCUUCUGAAAUCAAUUAUAUCUAAUAUUUAUUAUGUUAAAACUUAAAAGGUUCUCCAAAUCGAUUCCUCUUGGGAUAUUUGCAGGUGUACCUGUCAGCGACUAUGUUGUACCUGAGGAAAUCAAAGCUGCAGGUUUUCAGAUUUGUGCUGAUGAAUUGGGAUCCAUUGUCGAAGGCCAUGAUGUAAAGAAGCUGAAAAUUCAUGGUGGGGUAGAUGGUAUUGCAGAAAAGCUAUCCACAAGUACAACCAAUGGGCUUACUGCCGACAAUAAAUUGCUGAAUCACAGACAAGAGAUUUAUGGGAUAAAUAAAUUCACUGAAACUCAAGCUCGAGGCUUCUUGGUAUUUGUUUGGGAAGCCCUUCAUGACAUGACACUCAUAAUCCUUGCUGUGUGUGCGCUUGUGUCUCUGAUAGUUGGCAUUGCAAUGGAAGGGUGGCCGGUGGGGGCCCAUGAUGGCCUUGGGAUUGUUGCUAGUAUCUUGUUGGUUGUGUUAGUCACGGCAACAAGUGAUUAUCGGCAAUCUUUACAGUUUAGGGAUUUGGACAAAGAGAAGAAGAAGAUCUCCAUUCAGGUCACAAGGAAUGGAUAUAGGCACAAAAUGUCGAUAUAUGAUUUGCUUCCUGGUGAUAUUGUGCAUCUUUCUAUUGGAGACCAGGUCCCUGCUGAUGGACUUUUUGUUUCAGGAUUUUGUGUGUCAAUUGAUGAAUCAAGUUUAACUGGAGAGAGUGAACCGGUAAUGGUAAGUGCAGAAAAUCCUUUUCUGCUGUCUGGAACUAAGGUUCAAGAUGGAUCAUGCAAGAUGAUGAUUACUACUGUUGGAAUGAGAACCCAAUGGGGUAAAUUGAUGGCCACUCUUAGUGAAGGGGGAGAUGACGAGACCCCAUUGCAAGUUAAAUUGAAUGGAGUGGCAACGUUUAUUGGGAAGAUAGGNNNNNNNNNNNNNNNNNNNNNNNNNNNNNNNNNNNNNNNNNNNNNNNNNNNNNNNNNNNNNNNNNNNNNNNNNNNNNNNNNNNNNNNNNNNNNNNNNNNNNNNNNNNNNNNNNNNNNNNNNNNNNNNNNNNNNNNNNNNNNNNNNNNNNNNNNNNNNNNNNNNNNNNNNNNNNNNNNNNNNNNNNNNNNNNNNNNNNNNNNNNNNNNNNNNNNNNNNNNNNNNNNNNNNNNNNNNNNNNNNNNNNNNNNNNNNNNNNNNNNNNNNNNNNNNNNNNNNNNNNNNNNNNNNNNNNNNNNNNNNNNNNNNNNNNNNNNNNNNNNNNNNNNNNNNNNNNNNNNNNNNNNNNNNNNNNNNNNNNNNNNNNNNNNNNNNNNNNNNNNNNNNNNNNNNNNNNNNNNNNNNNNNNNNNNNNNNNNNNNNNNNNNNNNNNNNNNNNNNNNNNNNNNNNNNNNNNNNNNNNNNNNNNNNNNNNNNNNNNNNNNNNNNNNNNNNNNNNNNNNNNNNNNNNNNNNNNNNNNNNNNNNNNNNNNNNNNNNNNNNNNNNNNNNNNNNNNNNNNNNNNNNNNNNNNNNNNNNNNNNNNNNNNNNNNNNNNNNNNNNNNNNNNNNNNNNNNNUAAUUGAAAAAAUAGGCACGUGUACCUGCAAUGAGCUAGUUGAUAAGACUUAUGUGGCCGGUUAUCUUGAUUGAAAAAUCAGGGGAAUUCAUUCCAUUAUCUUUAUUAUUUUGGCAUCUAUUAGAGAUGUGUAUAGCUUAGAUAUAAAUAAAAGUCAUUGCUUGAUACAAUCUACAAAUUCUCAUUGUUUGCACUUCCUCCAUUGUGAACAGUACCAAAUUCUAAUUAAUUCUGCCCAUGAACUUCAGGUGGCUAAAGAGAGUGCUGAUGUAAUAAUCUUGGAUGAUAAUUUCUCCACAAUUGCGACUGUGGCCAAAUGGGGACGUUCAGUCUACAUAAAUAUUCAAAAAUUUGUACAGUUCCAACUUACGGUUAACGUGGUUGCAUUAAUAGUCAACUUCUCUUCAGCUUGUUUGACAGGUAAGAAGACCCCAUCUUGCUUCUUCCAUUUCAAAGUUACUUCCUUGUUUUGUCAAAUAAACUUCUUCUUUUUUCUCCCUACAUUUUUUUUAUUCCUUUUUUUUUUCAAACACUUAAGGAAAUGCUCCCCUCACGGCUGUUCAGCUUCUGUGGGUCAACAUGAUCAUGGAUACACUGGGAGCUCUUGCAUUAGCAACCGAGCCACCUACUGAUGACUUAAUGAAGAGAGCACCAGUUGGAAGAAGAGGAAAUUUUAUCAGUAAUGUCAUGUGGAGAAAUAUCCUAGGCCAGUCCCUAUAUCAGUUUCUGGUAAUAUGGUAUCUUCAGGUAGAAGGGAAAGCAAUAUUUCAGCUCAAUGGCCCUGAUUCUGAUCUGAUCCUGAAUACACUUAUUUUCAACUCGUUUGUCUUCUGCCAGGUACUUUUGGAAGUCCUCUUUGUAAACUUUGUUUCAAGCAUCUAUGUGAUAAAUGAAUGGUAGAUUAUGAUAGGCAAGUUUAGCUUUUUUUUUCAUUACAGGUUCUGUUUGGUAUUUCAAAUUAUGAUUUAGAAUUUAUCUUAUCACACCCUAUGAGUAAAUUGACUUUGCCCAAAUAAAUUCUCAUUUAAAUGACUAGAGGUUGUGAUGUAGAACAACUCUAGGAUGGUUGCCUACACUCAAAAGUAGGUGGGUUAGGGUUUUAAUUUUAGAGUAUAAGAAGAGGAACAAGGAAUGAAGCUUAUGGUAGAGAAAAAAAAGAUGAAAACCUUAAAGUCUCACUAAGACCUUCAAGGAGUUUCACCUAGAAGAAAAUCAUUGGAGUCUUACCAUUGAGGUUUGCAACAAUUGCAAUGAAAAAAAUAUAAUAUUAUUAACAUCAAUCAAUUCAUCCUUUUGAUUUAUAUCGAUGAGCUUUAUUUAUAGGUUUUUUUAAGAAAUCUAAAGUUCAUUUGGAUUCUAAUAACUUAUUAUGACUCUAAUUCUUAUUAUCUUAUAACCUAACUAGCUAAUCCUAAUUUGACUCAAUAGUAAUCAUAAUUUAAUUCUAAUUAAUAUUAAUUCUAAUUUAAUUCCAACUAAUAUUAAUCCUAAUUUAAUUCCAAAUAAUACUAAUCCUACUUUAAUUGCAACUAAUACAAAUUCCCUUUCUUAAAGGACUGAGUUUUCCAAAUUUAUUAUUAUCCCUUCCUUCCCAUGAGUUGCAAAAGAAACGGAAACAUGUUCUUUCACUGUAAAGCAUGAAAAGAUAAUAUCGGGGCCCCUGGCCCAUUUAUCAUAUUAGGGAUAACAUUUUUAUUUCCAUUGUGUUCAAUACCAGAUAACUCAACAGGCUUAACCUGGGGUAUUUUCUGAAAAAUAUGUUAAUUGGGAUUGACUUUCAGAAAAUUGGAAUUCAUUACAUUUACUAUUUACAACUGAAUAUUCUCACUGGAUCUUCUGCUGAUUUGUUCCACUCCUUCUUAGGUUCUCAGUUCACCCAUCUUCUUGAUCACAUGAGAGGGCUAUUAGAUGAAAGCCUUUCCACUAAUAUGUCUACUAAUUUAUUUUCUAGUUUUCGACUAUUAAACUCUUCUGAGAUGUCCUUUCUUAAUUCGAGAUAUCUCAGUUUGUAACCCUGUUGAGGACAUCUAACUUAUGAAAAGGAUCAUGGCUUAAUUCUGCAGGUUUUCAAUGAGAUAAGCUCCCGAGAAAUGGAGAAAAUCAAUGUAUUCAAAGGCAUACUGGAUAACUAUGUAUUUGCUGCUGUUCUCACUUCCACUGUCCUUUUCCAGAUCAUAAUCAUCGAGUACCUGGGUACAUAUGCAAACACAUCACCUCUCACUCUAUCUCAAUGGUUCCUCAGUGUUUUUAUUGGGUUCCUAGGCAUGCCAAUCGCUGCGGCCUUAAAGAUGAUCCCUGUGGCAAGUCAAUGAGUGAGAGAUGCUGCUUUUUAAAUUUUGUGCCCUUUCCUUGGAACAGGGCUUAUUGCAUGUGGGUUUAGAAAAACCUCAAAAGGUUGACAUGUCAUUUUACAAGUUAUUGUAAGAUUCAACGUUUUCUUUGUUUUUAUUAGCUUUUUGUGGAAACCUAAAGAAGAAUAGGGCCCUCUGCUUGGCUGCAAGAUGUAACUUCAGAUGUAACCAUUUUAUUCUUCAGUAAUGGGAAAUUCUUUUGUUAAGUUUCUUGUAAUUUUAUUCUGAUACCAUUUAUCCUGUUUUGUUGUUUAUGAUUAGUGAAGGAAAUUCUUUUGUUAAGUUUCUGGUAUUUUGUUCUUGUGGUAUUUACUAUUUACUCUUCUUUAUUCUUGUUUAUAACUGCCAGUUCUUAUUAUUUCUAACUUGUGAAUAAUGUCUCAGUAGAUUGCAAUGGUUUUGUUUAGUUAAAUGAUUCCUAAGAAAUGGUCAUGGGCAUGGAAAUUUGUUGAAAAUAUCAGCGGCCAAUUCUAAAAAACAAAAUAUUUAGUGAGACAAAAAUUGAUUAAAGAGAUGAAAAUUCAUUAAAAUUUAUGAAAAAUUGAUUUUUUUUUUAAGAAAUGAUAAAAUAAAUAAUAUUACACAUUAAAUAUAUAUAUUGUUAUGAGAAUUGAUAGAAUUCAUAAAUUUGUAAUAUUGGUCAACAAAAAAUAUGAAUUUUAAAACUAUUCUCAUCAAUACUAAUGUAGGGAUAUAUUUUGAUACCGCCUUUGGUAAAAUUUAAUAUUUAUUGUUUAAUUAUUUAAUGAUUUAAGUUAAUUUUAGAUUAAGUUACAUUUAAAUUAUUAACUUAAAACUUAUUAUUUAAUUCUUAUUUUAAGUAUUAAAAUUAUUUAAUAAAAUUAACUUAAAGCUUAAUUUAAAUUAUUAAAUUAAUAUACUUAUUAUCAUAAAUUAAAAAGUAAAGGAAGUCAAAAUAGUAGUGGAGAUCACGAAAUAUAAAAAAAAAUUAUAAAAGUAAUUAAGAUAAAUGAGAAUAAAAAUAUAAAAUUAAGAAUAAAUUAAUUAUUUUUACUUAUUAUUUAAAGUUAUUUUUAACUUUAAGUCAUACUUUUAAAUUAUUUUACUUAAUACAUUUAAUUUGCUUAAUGAUUUAAUUAAAUCAUUUUAAGUUAUUAAGUUUGCUUAUGAAACACCCACUAAACAUGGCUUUCUAAAAUAUCACCGUUUCUCCAUUCUAGGAAGUGUAAUCCCCCUAACACAUUAUUACAUGCUUUCUGCCUUAUGUUUCACUACCGAAAGUUGUAGACAUUAACUCCAUACUUAUUCUUCCAUCAUAGAGGGUCCCUCGGAUUCACAAGUAUAAUUGAUCCAAAUAGGUUCCAGAAGUGCCCUUGCUUUCUGUAAUUUCUGCUUUCCAUGUUCAUUACCGCUUGGUUCCUCAACUUGUCUCUCAAUUUCAGGAUAGAUGCCUUCCAGAGACGCCAACAUCAUAUCAAGUCCUUGCCACCCUCUAUGUUCAUGUCCCACUAAUUUCACACAGACAAAGUGAAGGAGUCCCAAUAACAACCCGAAGUCCUCUCUUUCCAGUGCAACAGCUGAAGCCGUCAUGAAAAUCUUCCCCACUGCAUCUAAUAUACUGGAGUUUCCUCUCAGCAAUAGAGUCAUCAUUCCUAUAAGUUUCUUAAAGGACGAAAGUUUCCCUGGUUCUGAAACUCUUUCAGCCUCCUCAUUUGGGCUGAUAUUNNNNNNNNNNNNNNNNNNNNNNNNNNNNNNNNNNNNNNNNNNNNNNNNNNNNNNNNNNNNNNNNNNNNNNNNNNNNNNNNNNNNNNNNNNNNNNNNNNNNUUGAUCAAAAACAUGUUGUUAAGUUUGUCAAUUUAUUUCAUGUCUACUUUUGCAAUUUCAAGGCGAGUGAGCUUAAGUUUUAAGUAGAUUCAAAGGGAUUUCCUUUGGGAUGAAGGGAUGCGAGAGAAAAAAUCUUAUUUGGUUAAUUGGUCUACCAUUUGUUUCGACAAAAAGAGGAUGGAGUGUUUGGCAUUAAAAAUCUCCACGCUCUUAACAAGGCUCUCCUUGGUAAAUGGAGUUGGAAAUUCACUUCCAAGAGAGAGCUAUAGUGGAAAUAGGUCAAAUUAAGGAAGUAUGGGAUAGGAGAAGGGGGUAGUGCUUAAGGGAGGUGAGGAACAACUAUGAGGGGUGGGGUUGAUGAGGGCUAUUAGAAAUGAGUGGAAAGUUUUUAGAAAUAUAAAUCUCCUCGUCAAGGGUAAUGGCAAAAAUGUUUUAAAAGGCUAAAGGCGGUUUUGAGGAGUUUUGCCCAAAUGAGGCAAAAUGUAAGCAUUGAAGUGGAACAAGACGUAAGCCUCAAAUUCAAGAAAAAUAAAUAAAUAAUACUGAAAAAGAAGAAGAAAAAAUCUCAAAAAAUUAAAAUUAAAAUUAAAAAAUCACAUGAAAAUUGAACAAUAAGAAAACCAUAAAAUUCAUAAUAAUCAAAUUAAUUGUUUUCUCUUUCCUUCUUUUAUAAUCUAACUCUCUUUCAUGGCUUUAUCAAAAUCUCUUUAACACUAGCAUCACUAUCACUAGUAAGGAUCAUCCAUGGAAUCAUAAUCAUAUCUAAUUGUUGUAUUAUGCUCCAUAUCCAUGUUAAUGCAUAAGCAUUCUUCUUCUUCAUCUAUCAAUUAUACUAGUCUUUCUUCUUCCUAAUCUCUUUAUUCCCUCUCCAUUUAAAGGAUUAAUUGAUAGCCAACCAAGCCUUUACUUUAUAAAUGCUUAAUCAUAGUUUUUUUUUUUUUUUUCUUCUAAGGCAAAAUCGAAUACAUAUUAACAACACUUAAGAAAAGAGCACACCAAAGUAUACACGAUGUAUACAAUAUUUUGGUGUGCAUAUUGAAUAGGCACCGGUAGGCAAGUAAAAAAAAUCAAAAACAAAAAAAAACAAGUUCCUUCUCCUUAAUUGGAUCUAAGUCAAUCAAUAAAUCUUAUCAUAAUCAUUAAAUGAUCAUCUAUGUACACAUUAAGCCUAGUCUUAAACUCAAGAAAAAACUUUAAAAUAUAUACCAAGACCUAACAAAAGCAAAAUUCAUUAAAUUCGUUAAACAUUGAGGCUUGAACAUCUUAUUAUAAAAUACAUAAAAAAAGCCUUAAACCCAUUAAAACCUUUUGAAUAUUUGAGGCUUAAGCCUUAAUAGCCUUCAAGAGUUAUGAAUCUUAAUAGGCUCAAGGCUAAAGCCGCAAUAGCCUUCUCACUUAAUGGCAAGGUAAAAUUCUAGAAAGACAGAUGGUGCAAUGAAUCUUCUUUGGAAAAGCCUUUCUCGGAGUUAUUUUAUAUAACCGUUCAUCACGGAUAGCAUAAAUAUGGGAACCAGUUGUGGAGAGGGGUUGGUGGAGUCCCCGCUUUCACAGGCAAUUCCACGACUAGGAAUUAGGCGGGGAAAUCUUUUUUUAGCAAUUGCAAUCAAUCUCAAUUAGAAGGAAUGAAGAAGACAAAUUAGGUUGGAAAAAAAGCAACAAGGGCCAGUUCACAGUCAAAUCUUUCUAUGCAUCCUUAACCAAAGAAGAAGUGAGCCUUUCCCUGCAAGUAUUGUUUGGAAUUCAUGGGUGCCAACAAAAGUGAAUUUCUUUACUUGGGAAGUUAUUUGGGGAAAAUUUUAACUCUUGAUCAGCUUAUGAGAAGGUGUUAGUUUGUUCCUAACAAAUACAAAAAGUGUAAAGAGGGCGAAGAGUCGAUUGAUCAUUUGCUUCUCCAUUGCUCCAAAGCGAUAACCCUAUGGCAGUUGGUUUUUUCUAUGUUUGGAGUGGCUUGGGUGAUGCACUCUUCCAUUAGAGGCAAUCUUUUGGGAUGAUAUGGUUCUUUUGUGGGGGAAGAAGAGGAAGAGAACUUGAAAGGCUACUCUUUUAUGCCUGUUUUGGACAAUAUGGAGCAAAAGAAAUAGGAAGUCUUUCGAAGGAGUGGAACAGUCGGAUCAAGUGAUCAAGACUUCUGUUGUAUGUCUUCUUGGAUUGGGCUAGGGUAUACAUAGAUGAGCUUUCUAUGUGAAUGUUAGACGUCAAAGGCUAUGGGUUGGUUCCUGGGUACCUAACCUUAAGAACUCAAACUAUGGUCUGAAGGGCUAGCAACUCAUUAGCCCAAAGGAGGUUGCUUUCAAGGUUCAGUGUGAAAGGAAGGGCUUCUACACCCAGUUCAUCAAAAGCAUCAAAUCAGAAAUUGACGCCUAACACUCAGGAUUCCAUCCUGUUCUUUGCUCACUCCCUAAAGUGAGAAUCUCAGUUUGACCUCUUUUCUUUCCAGUUAGACUGCGCUUCAUACUUGAGCAUGCUUUUUAUUGCUCUAUCCAGAAGACGGGAGUCAGUCUUUCCUUGUUAAAUGGCCGGCUCUUUUCAGGCACUUUAUUUAUAGAUAUUUCUUUUUGGUUGCCUAUAAAAAAAAAUCAACUAAACAAUGCCUUACCCUACCCAUUCAACACUAAUACAACCGAUAAGUGAAAGCAUAGAAGGAGUUAUUAAGGUCAAAAUUGACACACUUCAAGAAACAAAAAUUGAAAAAGGAAAUAUACCAUCUGAAUUCUUGUGGAAAGUAAGUGGAAUGAGAUCCUCUUGCUUGAGUGGAGCCCCAGUAACAGGAUGUUUACCAAACUUCCUAAUGUACGGAAUUAUGUUCCUGCACCCAAUCUCAAAACCAAACCAAAUACUCCAUAUUAGUUAUUCAUAAGUCCAGAAAAACCUCUCCUACAGGGCACUCUAAUUAAAACUGAAUGUGACUCUGAUUCAAUUACAUAAUGUCGAAGACGGUGCCAUCUCUGGUGCACACCGGAUCCCCAAACGGCGUAAACGUGACCCUACACCAAAAUCACAAGAAAACAGACAUUAAUACAAACAAUUCGGUAUAUGUAGAUGCAUAAGUGUAGAGAGAGAUGGGAGGGAUGUACGCGCAGCAGUAGAAGGGGAGGCGUUUGAAAGGGACGGAGGCGUUUUUGGAUUUGGCGCCGCCCCAUUCGGUGGCCCACUCCGUUUUGGUUAUGAACAUGCGAUCUUUGCUGUGUUGUUUCUUCCCCAUCUUGAAUUCAGCGAAGAUAGCGAUGACAAUUAGAUAAACUAUGGAUUUUUUAAAUUCAUUCAAAGGAGCUAGGGCUCUGUUCCUCUGGUUGUACGCCGCGCUCGUUGAGAGAGAGAGAGAGAGAGAGAGAGAGAGCGAGAGAGGGUUGGUCCGACACUCGACGGCGGUGCUGCUGAACCAAAACGAUGCGUUUUGACAUAGGGCAAUGUAUUUUAUUUUUAAUGACUUUUGUUGAGAAAACGGCGUCGUUUCGACAUAGUCUCCUUAAAACGGUGCGUUUUGAAUUCCUCUCUGUGCGAAGUGAGGAAGAGAGAGAUUGGCCCGUGGUAGCGGAUGGGUGGUUCGGGGAGUGGUAGUUGCAGUAGCAGCGGAGAGGAAGACGGUGACGCUGAUUGGAAAGCAGCCAUCGACUCAGUUUCCGCCGUCGCCACCACCGCUACCAGCAAUGGUUUCGCUGCUGCCUCCAAAGAUUCAGCCGUAUCCACGGAUGGCACAAACAGCAAUCAGAAAUCCCAAAAUUUGAAGCACUAUCAAAUCAAGGUCAAAUCUCUAUCUCCCUUCGCCAUCACAUUUUCCUGAUUGUUGAUUUACAUUUGCACUCAAAUCUGUUGAUUUGAGAAGCUCGGUAGAAGACCCAAAACAUGGGAUGCUAAAAUUUGAGUAGCAAAACGUCUGUUAUUUUAGAUUUAGAAAAAAUGAAUGAUAAUCUUUAUUUCAUCUGUGUCUGGUGAACCAUGUAACUGAUUUUGGGAACCAGAUGGUCUUUAUAUCUUAAUUAGAGAAGUUAUAGUUUUGGGGUUUGAUCAUUUUCCUAGUGAUUGUGUGAAUAAAUGAAUGAUGAACAAACUCCAUGUCAGGCACAAAAGCUUUUGGAUGACAUCAUAGAAAACACCUUAGUGAUGGUGGAAGAUCUCAUUCAUAUCUCCGAUAACGAAAAGACAAAUGAAGGUGGGAUUCGGUUGUUCAAGCAUGCUCCUCCAGGGAUAGUGUUUGAUCAUAUGGGUAAGUGAAACUCAUCAAACAUUUUUACUACGUUUGGAAACUAGGUUGAUCAAUCUCCUCUUUCUGACCAUUUUGUGAUGUAUUUACACAUUGGUACCAGAAAAAAUUCAACAACCAAGAAAGAGACCAAGAAUCCUUCCAGGGAAUGAGAUUGACGAGAAAUCAAAGAAGGUUUGAUCUUUCAUCAAUGGGCAAUUUACUUGAUUCGUUAUCUAGAUUUGAUGUUGCCUAAUUGCUAUUUGGAUUGGUGUAUUGCACAGUUUAGAGGGCAACUCCGAUCUGUUGCUGUUGAUGGGGUGGAUAUAAUGGCAGCGGCAAGAGAUGCUUGUCAGAAAUCAGUAGCCAGACUUGAAGCUAAAGAUGCGGCAGCAAAAGCAGCAGCCAAAAGGGAGGAAGAAAGGGUUGCAGAACUGAAGAGAACUAGGGGGGAGAGAUGGCUACCCUCAAUUGCCCGAGAAAGGCAGAUCAAGUUGGGGAGAAGUUAACAAAUUCGAGACAUAGAAACCAUGCUACUGCAGUGACAAAAUGUAGAGGUCAUCUGAUGUGGAGCACAUCUAUUGGUCCUUUCUGAUUGUUUAUCUCAUCCAUGUGAUGACCAAUGUUGCAAAUUGUUAGGCUGAAAGACGCUAUCCUUGUGGUAAUUUGAAAUCAGUAAAAGCUAGCCCAAUAUUCAAAAGCCUUUUUGAUCGCCCCUCUUUGAAGUACUGUGUACUAUGCUUAGUGGAUUUACUUUCAUAAUUGCAAGCAGGGUUGCAGUAAAGCAUCCGAAUUCUCAUUUUGUUUCCCAUGUCAAAUGAUGAAUCGUAUGCCCAUUUCGUAUAAUACUCUGAGAGCCGUUUUUUCCUAUAUAUAUAUAUAUAUAAAAGUUUAUCUUGCUCAUGGAAUUCCGUAAUCGGAAAUGAAGGUGUGAGAUAUUGGGCUGCCGACGGGCGUAGCUUAUUUCAAAAUUGUAAGAACUAGAGAUUCCAAAUGAUCCUUUUCUUUCCGUCAAAAGGCGCAGGAGUGGACGCCACCAGAACGGAAAGGCUAAGAAAGGUGCAGGGGCGCGGCGACCAAGAAGCAUUUAGAGGUGGAGCUUUAACUUUGAAGUUUGAAGUGGGUGGUAAAUUUUGAAAUGGUGGGACCAACGAAUAUUAUAGAGGAAGCUACGCGGAAGCAACCGAGUUGCUCUUUAUGUGCAAGUUGUCAUAUGAUGAUUGAGGAUAAGCCAAUUUCGGUCCUGAGAUAGAAGUGAGAAUCAGUUGAACUCACUGAAUUCCUCACUCCCUUGGGGGCACUGGGCAGGAAAAACCCUAUUCUCCUGACAGUAUGCUUUAGAAUCUGAGGCUUUUAUAUUGGGUAUUCAUAUUUUGGUGGGGGAGGCGGUGGACUUGGUGGAAGAUGGCAGUGUUAUUGGCUAUGGUGGUUGAUGCUCUGGGUCUGUGUGUGACCACACUUUGGGAUCUGCAGGAGCGGAGGUUCUCUACCAUUUUUGAGACAGUGAGCUCUGCAGCAAGGUCAGUUACCAUGGCACUUGUGUUUUGUUUCUUGUCCGUCCAUAGACACCGUAUCGGAGACUUUGGUGUGGCCUUCAUUUGAUUUUCAAUCUUAUUGCUUCUCUUCUUAUAAGCUCGAUUGUCAAGUUAUUUGGCAAUCUUUAGCCAGAUUUAGCAUUUGGCGUUGAUGAAGAGUGCCUUCAUUUGAUUACUGUUCAUUGUGCCUUAGCUGAACAGAUUGGAUAUUGUAUCUGAUAUUAUUACUCACAGCGGUUGAAUUCAGAUGUCUUGUGGUGUGGCUACUUUCAUCCAGUUUUAGAAGGAAAUGUAUUACGGCCUUCAACAGUGUAGCUCUUUUCCAUUGACCUCAGUAAGAGGUGAAGUCUAAGCCCCAGAAAUAUCUGAAAACUGGAACCUGAUUUUACCACUGAAAGCUUUUUGUUAUUGUACCCUAAUGA